CCUCAAGCUCAGUUUUGAUGACCUAUCCUCAGAUAUGAAGCAGUGCUUUGCAUUCUGUGCUUUAUUUCCUAAAGAUUAUGAGAUCGAUGUGGACCUCUUGAUUCAACUGUGGAUGGCACAUGACUUCAUAACUGUGCAGGAGGAUGACAAUCCAGAAACCGUAGGAAAAUAUAUUUUCGAGGAGCUAACUCGGAGGUCAUUCUUUCAAGAUGUCAGGCAAACACUUCCAAUUGGCAAUUUUGGAAGGUUGUCGCUUCGUAAGUCAACCAUAUGCAAGAUACAUGAUCUUAUGCAUGACAUUGCUGAAGGACUGAAAGGGCGACCAGAGGGGGGGUGAAUGGGAGCCUAUAAAAAUUCUUUACGAGAACAAGGCCUAUGUCCCAACCGCAACCCCAAAGUACAUUGCGCGUUGUAUCGUCAAGAUGACGCAAGUCAACUCGUGACAAGCUCACCCUAGUACCUAUAAAACAACACUCAAAUCACAGCGGAAACAUAGCAUGAAUCGACUCCAUCAAGUUUGCAUAUAUGAGACAAAGCAAAGAUACUACUAACCAUUUACUAAAUUAGGCAUGGAAAGAUUAGCAAUAAACUAGGCAUGAUUAGUAAAAAAACUAAACAAGAUGUCAAAGAUUAAUUAGCAACGUGCAAGAACUUAAUCAGUAACCCACUAACAUGAUUAGUAAGUGACAGUUCUAAUUAAGAAGCUAAACAAAAGAAUAGAGACUAACGAGCCAAGUUCCAAGAAUUAACCGUUCGCUACUUUCCUGUCAGCCUGCUGGCUUGCAACCUGCGCCAGGCCCGAUGGCCUCCCUCGCUUUGCUCCUGUUGGGUCGGUUGGCCUGCCGCAGCUAGCUGGGCCUCUAGUGCUGCUGCCUGGGCCGUCAGGCUUGUCUGGCCCGCGAGGCAAGCAGCUGUCCUCCCACUCGGCCUGCUGCCCAAACAGGCCUGGCCCGUGCACUGCUCCCCUCCUGGACCGUGUGCGUAGCUGGGCUGCGAGCUGGACUGCUCCCUGCAGCUGAUGCUGGCUUCGGUCUGGCUCGCGUGCACGUCCCGUGCCUCCUCCACGCAACGACCUGCGAACAAACAGAGCAAGAACACCAAGAACAACCAGAGAACAGGGAAGAACACGUUCAACUUCAAAUUCGAAAUCCUCCGUCAAAUCUCCAUGAAUUGCGACGAAACUUGAGACAAGGAUGCAAUACCCCUAAGGAAAAUAGAUCUAUGAAACAAAUCUUGAAAAACUCAGGUAUACAUCACUAAUCUUGGAGAAAACCGAAAGCCUAACUCAAAAACACGAUUCGGAGAAAUUCGAAAUCCAAGCCGGAUCCAUGAGAGAUUUAGAAGGGGAACGAAUCAAAGAUGCUCCCUAAGGUCCUAGCAUCAUUUCCUUUCAACCAAGUCCACGAGAUUCGGCUCAAACACGAAGAACGAAAAUUCCCUAAAAAUAGCUUCGAAAAUAGGGAAAAAGAAAAACGCUCGGGAAUCAAAAAUUUAGCACGAUUCGAGACAACAAACAAAGCUAAAUCACGAGAACAUCUUCUAUACAAGAUGAGAACUAGCCUCCUCCCUUCAUCCACCCACUAAAGAUGAAGAAAUCGAGAGAAAAGAGUAAUCACUCCCUAAUCCCCCUCUCUCCUCUCACUUUAAGCACAUGACUAGCCUCUAAGCAAAUAGAUAAUGAGUUGCUAAGUAAAGAGGUGCUGAAAUAACCAGCCUCCAUCCCUAUUUAUAGUCCAGGACGAAAGACUAUACUACCCCUACAGCUACAACUAAGAUAACUACCCACGCAGGGGCAUUUUGGUCCAAGUUUUUAUCCGUGCAUCGGACGGACACGCCGCCUUCACGACUUUGCUUCGCCUCGACGCAAGCUUCGCGAUGACGCCACGUGCCCUCCUUCUCGAAGCUACGGCCGCACCGGGCUCGCCCCCGGUUUUGAGGCCCAAACCGGGAAACCUGCCCGCGCGGUGGUUUUGAGGCCCAAACCACCCAAACCGUCCAUCUUUGCUUGGCCGCUACGCGACCUCCUUGAUGUCGACGCGUGUCCGGCCUCCGCCAAGCCUCCCGCUCGACUUGACCGACGUCGUCUCCAUCUUGUCAUGUUCUCCCACCGUUCCGUGCACCAUGUGGACCGCCCGUGACUCCGCCCGGACUCCUCAGGUCCAUCGGUCUAAGCCUACUCGCGUUCAUCCUUCAUCGCCCUUGGUCCAUCGGUAACCUUUCGCUUGACCUUCACCGCACUCCGUCGACCGUCAUGCCGCAUCCUACACCUGCACAUCACAAGCCAAGAGCAACAUCAAACCAACACAACGUUGUCAAUCACUCAUCAUCCAAGGGUGACCACGAUUGGCCCUCAAUUGCUCUAUCUGUUAUGGGGAAAGAAUGUGUCACUAUAGUUGGUAAGCCGAGCGUCAACAAACUGGUUAUAAGUCAACAAAAUCCGACCCGUCACCUCUUCUUAGGUGUUUGUCCAUUGGAGAAAGAACUGGUUAUAAGUCUAUUGAAGAAACAAACUGCAAUGCUCCAUACGUUGUUUUUUCCAGAUUAUGGUGACCCCCUUGAUAUAUCAAAGUACACUUCACUGCGAGCAUUACACCUUCCAGCAUUGAUACAAUUUUCAGGACAGGAACAGCUUACAAGAGACAUACCACACCUAAGGUAUCUUAAUCUGUCGUCACAUGAGUUCGAGAAACUUCCUGAAGGUAUAAGCAUUAUGUAUAAUCUACAAACAUUGGACCUCUCUCAUUGCGUACACCUUCGUCAACUUCCAAAGGAUAUGAAAUAUAUGGCAAACCUCCGACACUUGUAUACCCAUGGAUGCAAAUCAUUGACGUGCAUGCCUCCAGGACUUGGACAGAUCACUUCUCUGCAGACUCUAACAUAUUUUAUUAUUGGUGAUGGCUUGGGAUGUAGUACUAUCAGAGAACUUCAAAACUUAAACCUUGGUGGAGAGUUAGAGUUAAGUGGUCUGCAAAAUGUAACAGAAGUGCUUGCAAAAGCAGCCAGUCUUGAAAAAAAAGAGAAACUCACACACUUAUCUCUCAAGUGGAAUGAUGAUGCCCGUGAGAAACCAGAUUAUUCUCAUAAUGAGGUGUUAGAUGCCCUUAAACCUCAUCACCGGCUAGAGAUGCUAAGAAUAAAGUCCUACAAAGGCACCAAUUUACCGUCAUGGAUAACAGAUCUUAGUCUGUUGCAGCACUUGACUGAGCUCCAUCUGCUUGGUUGUACGCUGUGCGAGGAAUUUCCUCAAUUCUGCCAUUUCAAAACCCUUGAAGUUCUGUAUUUGGAAAAGUUGAACAAAUUGCGAAGCCUAUGCAGCCAUACGGUGUCUACGCCAUUUCCAGCACUGAAGCAACUCCGGUUACAUGAUUUGGAGAGCUUGGAGAGAUGGGUCGCAACAGAAGGAAAAGAAGAUGAAUUAACCUUUCCUGUACUUGAGGAGGUUGAUAUAAAAAACUGUCCAAAGUUGACUAGCCUACCUGAAGCACCAAAACUCAUGUUUGUAAGGCUGGAUGAAACUCCGGUUACUAAUAAGCCUUGGGAAUCAUCACAGAAACUGGAACUAUCUUUGGGUGGCACAGAAGCCGCACCUCGAUCACAACUGAGAAUAUCUGGCAGCAACCUUUUCUUCAUAUCAAAACUGGAAAUGGUUUGGAAAUGGUUUGAACAUCUUGUAGAUUUCAGAAUUAAAAACUGUGAUGUGCACAUGUCUUCAAUUUCUAAGCUAUUAGUGCUGCGUGUCCGUGACACAGAAGCACUGCCUCAGAUAGAUUAUAAUUGGGAUUCAUCACAGAAACUGAAACUAUCUUUGGGUGGCACAGAAGCCGCACCUCUGUCACAACUGAGCAUAUCUGGCUGCAACUUUUUCUUCGUAUCAAGCCAGUCACAGCUAACACCUGGGGUCUGGAAAUGGUUUAGACCUGUUCGCUUCAGCUUAUAAGCCGGCUGAAAAGCUGAAACGACUGAUUUGUUGUGAGAAGAAAACACUGUUUGGUCGCUGAUAAGCCGGUUGAAUAAGCUGAAGCGAACGUGCUCCAACAUCUUGCAGAUUUCACAAUUAAAAACUGUGAUGUGCUCAUCUACUGGCCAGAAGAAGUGUUCCAAAGCUUGGUAUCUUUGAAGAACUUGAAGAUUAAGUCCUGCAACAAGCUAAUAGGGCCCACACAAGCGGAAGGUGGCGAACCUACACAAACAACAGAUCAAGUCCUGCCACAUCUAAACAGUAUAAGUAUACGCAGUUGUGAAAGCAUGGCACAGCUCUUCAUUCUUUCCCCAUCUAUCAGCUCUAUUGAUAUUCAGGAAUGCCCUAAGCUUGAGUUCAUAUGGGGAAAGGAGGAGCAUCUUGACACAUAUACAUCGCUGGAACAUUGCCGCGACCCUGCAUCCACCACUGGUACCCUAGAGCAAUCACAGUCUCCAAUUAUCCGUCAUUCAUGUCUCGUAAAUCUAGAAAUAAGAGGCUGUCAUAGCCUGGUAACACUUCCAAAUCUACCACCGUCCCUCAAACAGUUAUGCAUCUGCCGCUGUGAGAAGCUCUGCUCUGUGUCAGGAGACCUGUGUGCACUCGAGGAACUCCAUAUUUUUUACUGCAAUAAGUUAAAGUCAGUCAAUUCCUUGGGAGACCACCCAUCAUUAGAAACACUGUUUCUUUCUCGCUGCCGAUGCCUUGCAUCUUUAGGAUGUGAUGGUGGUCGUGGGAGUUACUCUGCUCUUCAGUGCCCAGCCAUAGACAUGAAGCAGUUUUACUAACGCUAUCAAACAGCUGCUUGACAGCUUUGAAGAUGAAGACGUAUCACACGUUCAUUUAAGCAUCUCUGAUGAAGGUACGACCUUUCACUUUCCUCUUAUUCAAUUUGUUUCCUUCAAAUUUCCCUGCUUUGCAUGCCCUCCUAUUUCACUCAUGUAACCCCACAUGCAUUUCAUUUUUGCUGUGCAGACAUGACCCAUUUGUCCUUAAAAAGCAUAAAGGAGGGCACUCACAUGUACACACGACUGCCAUCUGGAAGCUUCAUUAUUGCAAGCCUCGUCCUCACCAUCGACCAUCUGAUCUUGUGCUUGUCGAUGAGGCUGUCCAAACUCCAAAAGGUCAUCCCAUAUCUUCCUGUGCUUGUCACAUACGGUUUUAAAGGCAAAAUCAUAUGAAUGAAUUACAUAUGCGCCAAGAUCAAGUUUCACACAUCAGCAACUUCUGUAAAUACCAUAGAUAGUACCAUAACAUAAAGAGAGUAUUAAAUUUAUUACAUGGUCGAAAGUCUUUAAUACGAAUAACAAAACGAGUCUUUAUUCUAGCAACGGAACUCCAACAAUGACGACAACUCCACAUGAGUUGACUGGUGGCACACGUACACCUAGAACUCCUCGAAGUAUUGAAGGACCUCCUCAAUGUUGAUUUGGUCUGAGCAGCGGUUUUAGCAAAGGUGAGUACACUUUAUGGUCGGUACUCAGCAAGCGUGAAGAAUGUGUAGUGUAAGGCUAUUCAAGGAUGGGCUAUGGUUUAAUAGCAUUUCAGCAUUUUAAUUGGUUGGUCAAGUUUUAUUAGCAACAACUAAGUAUAAGUUUAUACCACCCAUGUUAAGCAUGCACAUAAAUGAAAAUAACAACAAUAAAUAACAUCAAUUUAAUUCAACUUCCAACAAAUUAAUUAUGUGAGGGUCCAGGCCCCCCAGCGAUCUCGCCAUAAAUGCACCACGUCUCUGGCACGCAGAAAGGCGCCCGUGCCCCUCGACGUGACCCGCCACAAGUACCCAAGCGGAACACUGUAGCCACAACCGCACAGGCUACAAUGGUCGCAGAUCCCCCUGAUUCGCAGCAGGGCACUCAUGGCUUGCGCCGCCCGGAGCAGGGGGAAGUCGCGCCCCGUGCAUCCGGCCAUAGGGACGCGACGUUCGCCUUCCGCGGGCUGUCAGCAAGAUGGCAGGACCAGCCGCCUCCCCCAACGGACACAGGUGCCACGACGAAACACCAUCAUCACGCCUGGCGGCGACAGCCGCCGAGGAGACCAUCGACGGGACGCGACGGCGGCCGCCCUCCUCCGGCAGACGCGCCGGCAGGGGCCGAAGGCCGGCGAGGAUGCCGGUAGCCUGGGGACUUGGUCCCUCUCCUUGUGUUUUAUUUUACCUAGCUUUGUUUAUCUCUUUUACUUCUCCUCACACCCGGUCUCUCCUGUAACCACGGUGGCCUCCUUGCGAUAUAAAAGGAGAACCGGGAGCCUGAGACGAGGGAGGCUUCCAAGCCAACAGAACACACUAAUACCCACCUAGAGCAUCAGUGCACACCCAAGAGACCUGGGACCAGCUCCCUCUCUCGCACUCCUGUAACCCCUACUACAGAACCCCGCGUGGGCAACACGAGCAGCUCCCGAUACUGGACGUAGGUCAUUCCCUUGCCCGAACCAGUCUAAACCCCGUGUCUCCCACGCCACCAUCCGAAGCCUUACGCGCAUAAAAGAAAUUUACUAGUCUAAGUCUUGAGCCGCUAAUCUUGACAAUGACAGUUGGCGCGCCAUGUAGGGGACCUUUGUGCGUACAUCAUCGGCUUCAGAUGGCCAACCACGACGCUGGCUCCAACGACAGGAGUCACCACCCCUCGCACGAGUGCUUCAUGGCCGACGUGCACUCCGAGGGAUCCAACGACGACGGCGCUGAAGGGAAGCGGCGCGCUCCCCCACCGCACGCCGCAGCUACGACUGAGGCCCUUGCCAGGGUCCCGGUGUGGCCACGACAGCCGGAGGUGCGCACGACGCCCCACCAGGAGGACGAGCACCGCCGCAACGAGGGCGGGGCGAGUCAUCGGGCCUGUGACGUCCAGCGGCGCAUCUGCGGGGACGAGGAUCAUCCCCAACUCUUCGCACGCGCCAGCCAGAACGUCGCCGCCGCGGCAGCCCUCCUCCGACGACUUCCCGAUCCGGCAACGCCCGAGGAGCGACAGGCCCGCCAGGAGGUACGCGACUUGCUUGAGUGUGCAGCAGUCCAGCAGGCAGAAAGCUCCGCGUCCCGGCAUCGCACACACGGCGCCAGCAGGGUCACACCCUCUGUGCCUAUCGAGAGGCGUGGAGGACCUGUCCAUCAACCUUCCUCCCGUGAGGGAAACCAGGCCUCGCCCAUUCGACGGACUCCACCACGCGCGGGUGACGGGGCUUCAUCCGUCCACCGUCGCGUCGGCCCCAUCCGCGACGCCCGUGAUGCCUUGGAUGCGCAGAGGCGCACCCGUGCGGACAGGGAGGAUAGAGCCGACUGCGGCUACCGCAUACACCGUGGUGGUCGCCACGACGGCGGAGAAAAUCGGAGCCCCAGCCCCAGCCCAGCGGGGCCCAGGGCCUUCUCCACACGCAUCCUGAACACGCCGUCCCCAGCGCGCUUCAGACAGCCCACCAAUGUGGCCAAAUACUUUGGGGAGAAAAACCCUGGGCCUUGGCUCAGCGACUACCGACUUGCCUGUCAGGCCGGUGGAGCGGAUGACAACCUGUUCAUCAUUCGCAACCUCCCACUGUUCUUGGCCGACUCGGUGCGAGCCUGGCUGGAACACAGUCCCGUCAGGUCGGAUUCGUAACUAGAACGACCUGAAAGAAAUCUUUGUAGGGAACUUCCAGGGCACAUACAUGCACCCCGGGAACUCCUGGGACCUCUGGAGCUGCCGCCAGGAGUCGGGUGAGACUCUCCGAGAGUACAUCCGACGCUUCUCCAGAAACGCACCGAGCUCUCCAAUGUCGCCGACGCCGACGUCAUCGGGGCCUUCCUGGCAGGGACCUCCUGUAGGUCUCUGGUCCACGAACUGGGACGUGUAGGCCCACGGACCACCAAGGAGCUCCUCGACAUCGCCACCGACUUUGCCUCGGGCGAGGAGGCCAUCGGGGCGAUAUUCGAUCGCUCCAAGGGCAAGGCAAAGAGGGAGAAGGAUGCCGACGAAGGCGCCUCCACUCGCCAGAAGAAGAAAAAGGCCGCGGCGAAACCCCGAAGGCUGCGGAGGGACUCAAGCACGACGACGGAUGACGACAAUGAUGAUGAAGAUGAGGAUGAUGAUGAAGAAAGCUCUUCCGCUCUAUAAGGAGUGCGCGGCAAACGAAAUACGAGUCGACCGCAUCUAUUGCGACGUCAGGUACAUCCCAUCACCUCCGUCUUUCUCCGGAAACCGUACGCACGAUCUCUUUUUAACCGCAAGGAACACCACACCUCCUACCCCACAAGCUCGACGUUUUCUACCGCUUCGACUCCCAGAGGUCAUACGCACAACUUUCUCUGCAAGCGGACCAGGACCCGCUUCAGGUAAAAAAGGGAUACAGAGCUGAAACGCUCUUACGGCCCAUUACGGUCCAGGGGUUCGAAGGCUGGCCCUCUAGAGGGUUCGACAGCCGCCCCAGGACAUUCCCCGAGCAAGGGGUGAGAAGGGAUGGGUCCGCUAGCGGCCACCACCCAAGCGAGCGAAAGCCAAGGGCGUCCCGACCUCACGUUCGAGUCCGGGCUGGCGUCUAAGUUCAUGGUUUUUUCCCGAAGAAAGGCAACGAGCCCCCGAAUCCGAUCGAACGGACUCGGGAAUUAUAUGAACUGGCCAGCCGGAAUCUGGAGUACGCCACCAGCUUGGCCCGAGCCGGACCCCCCCGAACGGGGACCGGGACUCCACUCGAACCGACCCGUUCGCAGCUCAACGAGCACCACGGUUCGUCCAAUGAGGAUAGCGUGGCACGGCUCACCCCCUCCGUCCCAGCGAACGGACGCUUGAGGGGAAACGACCAAAAGCCGAUCUAGCCUCCCGAUCGGUCCCUUGCAACGCGCGGGGGCUCGGGGGCUAGCAUCGCAACCAAUGACCACGCGUGUGGUCGCGAUGUGAGGUCUCGAGGUGGGAGUGCCCUAUGGAGCAAUGAGGAGUCCUCCCGCGCCAAGUCAUCCACAGGACACCUCGCCUGAUCAAACUCCCCGACCAAACCGGACCAACAACACUCCUUAUCCCUGACCAACUGCAGCUUGCAGGGCGAGCAGAGAUCCUCGACGAGCGAUGAAAACAGCCUCUGGAGGAGCAUCCUUGCUCCACCACAGGCUCGGGGCUACUAUUGGGGGGAAAUAUUAACGACCUCCUGAUGCCCCCUAAAGCAGCAGUCAUAAAGGCCCGGGCCCACCUGUGGUAAUUACGAUUACCGCCGACCCAGCAGAGGUAGAGAACAUCCCACUCCGUCUCGCCCGACCCAGGGUCCAAGGGUCGGACAAUCCCGACCCCUCGAUGGCAGAACUCCGCCUCGCCCGACUUGCGGUCCCAGGGUCAGGAGCGCCCGACCCCUCGCCGCAAGGCUCCGCCUUGCCCGACCCCGAGCGUAGGGGGUCGGACUCAUACGGGCCCACGGGACAAGUGUCCACCUCGGGCGCAGACCGGCGGACGAGGGCGCGGAUCUUGUGGGCCCCCCAGCGAUCUCACCAUAAAUGCACCGCGGCUCUGGCACGCAGAAAGGCGCCCGCUCCCCUCGACGUGACCCACCACAAGUACCCAAGCGGAACACUGUAGCUACGACCGCAUAGGCUACAGUGGCUGCAGAUCCCCCUGAUUCGCAGCAGGGCACUCAUGGCUUGCGCCGCUCGGAGCAGGGGGAAGUUGCGCCCGUCCUCGCGCCCCGCGCAUCCGGUGAUAGGGAUGCGACGUCCGCCUUCCGCGGGCUGUCAGCAAGAUGGCAGGACCAGCCGCCUCCCCCAACGGACACAGGUGCCACGACGAAACACCAUCAUCACGCCUGGCGGCGACAGCCGUCGAGGAGACCAUCGACGGGACGCGACGGCGGCCGCCCUCCUCCGGCAGACGCGCCGGCAGGGGCCGAAGGCCGGCGAGGAUGCCGGUAGCCUUGGACUUGGUCCCUCUCCUUGUGUUGUAUUUUACCUAGCUUUGUUUAUCUCUUUUACUUCUCCUCACACCCGGUCUCUCCUGUAACCACGGUGGCCUCCUUGCGAUAUAAAAGGAGAACCGGGAGCCUGAGACGAGGGAGGCUUCCAAGCCAACAGAACACACUCAUACCCACCUAGAGCAUCAGUGCACACCCAAGAGACCUGGGACCAGCUCCCUCUCUCGCACUCCUGUAACCCCUACUACAGAACCCCGCGUGGGCAACACGAGCAGCUCCCGAUACUGGACGUAGGGCAUUCCCUUGCCCGAACCAGUCUAAACCCCAUGUCUCCCAUGCCACCAUCCGAAGCCUUACGCGCAUAAAAGAAAUUUACUGGUCUAAGUCUUGACCCGCUAAUCUUGACAACGACACAUUGGUUCAUUAAUACCACCAUACCCAGUUUGAGCAACUAAGCAAGAACUAUCCAACAUCAUGUAAACCCAUGUUGAUCAAGGUGUAGGGAUAAAACUAGGCACACCUUAAAUAUUUAUAUACUUAAAGUGCAUAGCAUAUGUGUAUUGAACAUGAAAGUAAAGGUUGCAUAGGAUCAAAUUGUGAUCAAGGGCAUGACUUGCCUUCUUGAACUUGCUCUUGCUGCUCAAAGUCCUCAAAGCCUUGCCCUUUGAAUCCCUCGAACUGCAAUCCUUCUAUGUGCAUCAAGCAAGUACAUACAAGCAAACAAAAGACUAAAAUAACAAAACAUUACAUCAAGCAGUAGCAACAGAGCAAGACAAGACCAUAAAACUAAUCUAUGCAUCAACACGAACUCAUAGACGCAAGAAUCGCUUAAAAUGGGUUUAAAAUGUUAAAGAUAUGAGCUAAACAAGGUUCAGAAACUUAACUGCGAGAAAACUAAACUUUUAGGGACUAAACAUAAAGAAACUACGGAUUAAAACCUAAUUAAAUGUAUAAAUCGAAGGUUUAACACAUAAAAGAGUACAUCUACGAUGGCAAGCGAUAUUUUAUAAAACUAAAGGGCUAAAACAGAGAAAAAAAGAUCCACAUCUAAUUACUUUUGGUAUAUAAGCUCUAAUUAAAAUUGUUGCGUUUAGACUUUUAAAAGUAUCCGGUGGCACAAUGGACCGGCGUCCAUCCGUCCUGUGACCAGGCCUACUGGGCAACGCAUUCUCCAGAUGAAUCAUUGAGCCUGAAUAACAAAGAGACAAGCCUCACCAAUCACACAAUUUUUAGCUAGACGCAAUAUUAACGGUACAUGUAGUAUUGCAGGGAUAUCAAACGUUAUAAGGUACUUAAAAAAAUUCUGUGGAAGAUAUCGGGGGCUCCUAUGUAUCUCGUGGAAGAUAGAUAGGGGCUAUGAAACUUCCAACCCACCACCGCCCUAUUAAGAGGAUCUUUAGCAGUCUCCCUUUCCCCAAUCCAACUACCAUAUUGGAAAAGUAGACAAGAAAAUAGUGCUCAUGCAGUCUCCCUUUACCUUUCCUUUUUCCCAAUAAUUACUGGGACGGCCCAAUAAUUCACUCCAACUCUCCCUAAAUAAAGGAUGAGUUGUGACUCUCCGAGUACGGUAAAAGGAUGAGUUGUGACUCUCCGAGUACGGUAAUUAAAUUGGGAUGAGAUUAUUGGGAGAGUGCAAAUGCAACUCUCCCAACGGUGAAUAUUUAUUGGGGACUACUGGAGAUGCUCUAAGCUCCUCUCCCUUCUCUUCUUCCCCGGUGACCCACCCUCGCCAUUUCCUUCGCCGUAAGGUGCUUAAAAAAAUCUUGUAAGGUGCUUAAAAAAAUCUUACCUUGCCCUUAUCAAACGUUGUAAGGUGCUUAAAAAAAUCUUGUGAAAGAUAGAUAGAAUUUCCGGGGCUCCUAUCUAUCAACAUAGGGCAUCAAACUUCCAGCCCCACCACUGGCUCAUUAAGAGGAUCUCGAGCAAUCUUUCGUUUCCCCAAUCCAACUACUAUAUUGGAGGAGUAGAUAAGAAAAUAGUGCUCCAACAAUCCCCCUUUACCUUGCCCUUUUCCCAAUAAUUAUUGGGACAAACCAAUAAUUCACCCGAACUCUCCCUAAAUAAAGGAGAGUUGAGACUCUCCCAAUACGGUAAUUGAAUUGGGAUGAGAUUAUUGGAAGAGUGCAAAAGCAACUUUCCCAAUAACGGUGAAAGUGAUAUUAGGAUAUCCCUAUUAACUAGUUAUUGAGAAUAUUUAUUGGUGGAGGGGGACUGCUGAAGAUGCUCUAAGCUCCUCUCCUUCUCUUCUUCCCCGACAACCCCCACCCCCGUUGUUUCCUGCCACCCGCCCGGCGGCUGCCGCGACGCCCGCCCGCCAUCCACCACCACCCUCUACCUCGCCCUGCCUAACCUGACGCCGCUCAUGACCCCGACCGCCGGCCACCGCCCACCAUGUGUCUAGCCUUAUUCGGCCGGCGUGCUCCCGCGCCGCCUAGCCCCCGCCACCUUCCGAGCCGCCACCACCGUCGAGUUUGCCAUCGUCGCCUCCUCCUCUUCUAAGGCUGGUGGCCAUAAGAACCUCCAAAACUCGAACCCUAACCCUAAAUACCGCCGGCCUCGACCAUCGCCCGUGACCGGCAUCGACCUUGCCACCCCUCCAGCAAGCUUCCUUCCCCCAACCUUGGAUCCCGGCGGCGGCACGCAUGCAAGAUGAGGAAGGGAGGCGACGGGAGCAAAAAGGAAGGAAAAGAAGAACGUUUGGUCGGAAGCAGCUGCACGAAUCUUUAAAGAUUGGAACCCGGGAAAUGGAUAGGAUUUGCGGUAUUUCCGCGCAGCCACACGAUGGUCCGUUUAGGCCCAUUCAGGCUCAAAUUGCGACCUGUAAAGGCCCAUCACGGCGCGGCCGCCUCCAGCAAAAAAGGCCGGUAAUUUUCUUACAAACACCACAGAACAACAUGCAGCCGUAUGAUGGCCCGUUUAGGCCCAUGCAGGCCUACCACACACAAAUCGCGACCUGUGAAGGCCCAUCACGGGCGCGGGCCGCCUCCAGCAAAAAAGGCCGAGCAAUCCAGUUACCAUCCAGCCAGAUCAAGACCUCCUAGAAGAAAGAAGAGCUCGCGACGAAGCCGGCGAAAGCCCCCCAAACCCUCCUGUCCUCCCCCCCACCCCGACCUAGCAGCAGCGGCGCGACGAGAUGGCCGACGACCCCACCGCCGCCGGCGGGAACCCCGUCGAGGACAUCGCCCGCGCCGAGGUGAGCAUCCCCGGCUUUCCCCACCCUCCUUGCUGCGGGGCGACCCGAUCUGUGCCUGCGCCGGGCUCCCGCCCUCGUCUCGCGCCGGACUGCCUCCGCUCGGCUCGCAGAGGUGUCGCGUGGUGGUGUCUGGGCGGGGGGAAUCCGGCCGGCGAGAUGGGGUGUUUAGGUUUGGGCGUAGAUGGGGUGGCCUGAAUUGGUUGUGUCGUGUGGCCGUCUGCUGGGGAGAGUAUGGGCGAGGCAGGGGUUUUGAUUGUGCCCAUAGAUCCAUAGCAGAUUAGCAGUGGCCAGUGGUUCACUAGCAGGAGGUUUCAAUUAGUUCGUUUUUCCGGCUUGUGAUGUGCUGAUUAUAUCACUGAUGAUGUUUUCCUGUUGAAACUGGACCUCAGGCCCAGCUCAACGGAUUAAAUCGCAGAGCUUUUAUUUAAGCUAUAUAUGGAACUCGAAUUCAGAUGAGGAAGUGCGAUUCUGCUAUUCAAAGACAGCUGCUUUUCUUUUUAGCCUAGUUUCUGUGCUGAUAAGUGCAAGCUAAGAUUGUGCUAUACUCGUAUCUGUAGGGUGACACGAAUCCGCGUGAGGAUGGCUUGUUGAAAUCCAAGGACAGGGACAAAGAUAGAGAAAAGGACAAGGACAGGGAUCGUCGCAGGGACCGUGACAGGGAUCGAGGGAGGGACAGGGAUCGGGACAGGGAUCGGGACAGAGACAGGGACCGGGACCGCCAGAGUAGGCAUCACCGUGAAAGAAGGGACCGUCCUGAUGAUCACAGAGGCCGUGAUUCUGAAAGGUAUGUCUGUUAGCAAUAACACUAUGAAAACCUGUGUUGUGUGGUGUUUGCAACAGUGCCACUUCCGUUCUGGUGGAUGCAUCAGAAGUUAUUCAAUUGUAUUCUUGACAUGUCAGAUUGUUAGUGUGAGGUUAACAUGUAUUUUUCUUGAACUCGUGUGUAUGUAAUAACAAGCAGGAGAAGAGAUCGUGAUAGAGAUGGGCACCGCAGGAACCGUUCUCGCUCACGGUCUCGUUCAAGGGGCACAGAUCGGUCGCGUUCAAGGAGGUAUGACAGUGAAGAUCCUAAAUGAUCCAUUUAAGAGAUUGAAUCUAUCUCUUUUUAUAUGUGAAUCACUUCUCGCAUGCAGUAUUCACUAGUAAUUGAUACCAAUUGUGCUGUUGCAGCAAACGAGUUAGUGGAUUUGAUGCGCCACCCCCACAAGCAAUGAGUUCAACAUUUCCAGUUAUUCCAACCCCAAGUAUGCUCUCAUCACCUCAGUUAAAAAUUUAUAUUUUCAUCUUUGCAGUUGUCUAAAUUAGUUGUAGUUGUGACUUGCUUCCCAACCCAACCAUUCAUUUUCAUCAUGAUUUACUAUACACUGCCAUUACUAUAGUUUCUGGCAUAUCACCAUCCGAUAUUAAUUUUGGAUUUAGCAUCAGUGAAUACUGAAUAAUGUUGUCGCCACGAGUUGAAAAAUGGUUGCAAGUCGCUGAAAAUUUUGCCACAAUUGAUUUGCAUUGUUAUAAAACUGUUUUUCGUUGCAAUAGCAAGGCUUAUUGCCACUAAAUUCAAAAUAGUUGCAAGUCAUAAACAGUAUUGCCAGCAAGCACAUUCAAUCAGUAAUUUAACAUUCUAAAUGUUUUACUUAGCUAGACCAACAGAUCAUGUUGCACAUUAGUAACUUCUAUCAUGCAAGUCAUUAUGUUGCCAUAGGAUCUGUCACAAUGUAAUAUUUUUCGUUGCAAAAUGAAUUCUUACCACCAAACAUGUUUUCAUGGCAAUAUAGUUUAUUUCCACGAAAAAAUGUGUUAACAUAGGAUCUAUCACAACGUAACAUAUGCGUGACAAUAUAUUUUAUUGUCACCAUGUUAGUCGUGGCCAAAUACCAUAUUGCUACAAUGUCUGUCCAUUGCAACUACAUAUUAUAGCAAUGCCUACUUGCAUGGCAAUAAUGCUAAUGCCACGGCAUCAAUAGUUGCAAUAUUCUAUAAUGCAACGAACGAGUGUGUGGCAAUUACCAUAAUAUUGCUACAAACAAAAAAACCAUUGCAAUGUGCUAUUGCAACGGAGAUACUUGCAGCGGCUGCCAACCAACCUGACUUGGUUGCAGAUGCUACCUAUUGCAACUAUUUUGGCCAUAUUGCCACGUUUUUUGUAAUAGGCCAAAAAUCUAGUAGUGGUAAGUAUGUGUAUACCAUCUAUUUUCAUUUUGUUUUUCCUUACCUGAUGUAUCUGAACAUUUACGUACGCAGUUUCGACUGGAUCCUGGUUAUAAUUCAACCUGAUAGAAGCCAUGUCACUAUCUUUGAUUCCUUGAGGAGACCACCGAAGUAUUACCAAGACAUGCAAGACACGCUAGGCUUAUAAUAAUUCUUGACCUUUAUCUCUAUGCAAAAGUUUGUACACUAUAUCAUUCACUAUUUUAAUCCACAGAGCAUGGAUAGAAUUCAUCAAGGAACACAAAGGUCCAUACAAGAAAACCUUGCAUGAAAAACAGAUUUCCCGGUACGUAUGAAGUCUGCACAUUUUGUACAUUCUAUAGCAUGAAUAUUUCAUAACUUGUUUUUCCCCACUGAAGUGCUUAAGACAAGAACCUGGGAAUAAUUUAUGCGGCUACUAUGUCUAUGAGCAUAUGCACAGUUUUAUGGGACCCAUGACCUUAAAGAUGAUGCCGCAUGAAUUUAAAGUACAUAAAAUAAAACUAUUAAUAUUUCAUUAUUUUCUACCUUCUUAUAUUUAAUUGUUCAUGUAAAAUUCACACGUAUCCAAAUUACAGAUGAUGAAUAUUCAAGAAGGAUUUUUGAGGAAGGAAAGAGUAGCAGCAAUAUGUGAAGGUCUCAUUGGAUUCCUGGUGGACGAGGUGGUAAAUUCACAAGGAGAAUUUUAUUACAAUGGAGGAAAAUUAGAUGCUCCGAGCAACACCUCGAUGGGCAGAUCAUAGAGAUAUAUAGUUUGAUUUGUGUAUGUAAUACGUACGCUAAGAUUUGUAUAUAUAUAGUAUAUGCUAAGAAUUGUAUAUAUAUAUACUAAGAAUUGUAUAUAUAGUAAUUGUAUAAAUACUAGUAUGAUUCGUAAAUACUAGUUUGAUUUCAUUAUAUAUAAAAAGGCUCAACUACUAAAGGUUAACCAAAGGGACACGUACGUGAUGCAUGAAAUUACAGGCGUCAUGCAUCCUAAUUGAAGUGGCACGCGCAUGAAAUUUUGAGCAGACCUUUAGUCCCGGUUGGACUGAAGGGGCCUGUCCCGCGCCUAGCGUGGCAGCCCUUUUAGUCCCAGUUGGUUUUACCAACCGUGACUAAAGGGUGUCUUUAGUCCCGGUUCAGGGACCCGGGACAAAAGACCCCCCUUUUAUAUGGAUUGCUUUAUCCCGGAUGGUUUUUUGGGAGAUUUGCCCGCUGUUCCUCUUGAGUCAUUGCCUCCCAACGUUCAUGAGGAGUCACUUCAGACUUCUUUUAGUCCCAGUUUGGUUUUACCAACCGUGACUAAAGGGUGUCUUUAGUCCCGGUUCAGGGACCCGGGACAAAAGACCCCCCCUUUUAUCUCGAUUGCUUUAUCUCGGAUGGUUUUUCGGGAGAUUUGCCCGCCGUUCCUCUUGAGUCAUUGCCUCCCAGCGUUCAUGAGGAGUCACUUCAGACUUUUUUGUUUUCUCCUUUCUCAGUCUUGUCUUGGGAGGCUGAGGUAGUGACCUCUUAACUGGUCUUGGCUUGGGAGGCGGAGGUCCCGGUGAUGGUGAUCUGAAAGGGGUACUGUUGUUAUCGUCAUCGCCGCUCCCACCACCAGGAUGUGGUGGAGAUGGAGACCUUGAUCGAGAAGGAAGCGAUGGUCCGGGUAGUGACGACGAUCCUGGAGCAGGUUGUGGAGAUUUUCAGUCAUCUAAACUGCCGGCCCAACCAGUAUCUGAGAAAGCACUCACCAAUGGAGACGACGACUUAUGUAUCUUUAGACCAAGUUUCGUACACUGCUUUACAUACCUCAAGAUUCUUUUGACAACCUCCCAAUGAACCAUAGUAGGCGCAUGAAGGAAUUGACAUACCUUAUUGACAGAGAAGGCAAUGUCUAGUCUUGUGAGAGUUAAAUAUUGCAAGGCUCCAACAAUGCUUCUAUAUCUUUUAGCAUCAUUAGCACCCAAUAUGUUCCUUCAUGCAGGUAAAAUUUCUCACUAGUAGACAGGGGAGUGCUAACCGGCUUGCAAUCUGCCAUCCCAACUUUCUUCAACAAAUUUGAUGCAUUUUUAUCUUGAGUGAGCACAAUCCCAUCACAUACCUUAUUUACCUCAAUGCCACGAAAAUAGUGCAAAUUACCAAGAUCCUUGAGAGCAAAUUCUUCCUUAAGAUCAUUGAGCAAGGCAGACGUAGCCUUUUCUGUUGAGCUUGCAACAAUUAUAUCAUCCACAUAAACUAGCACAAACAUAGUGAUGCCUCCCUUUCUAAAAUAAAACAAUGAUGUAUCAGCCUUUGAAGCCUUGAACCUGAGUCUGAUCAAUAUUUCACUAAGGCAUGAAUACCAAGCUCUUGGGGUUUGUUUGAGUCCAUAUAAUGCCUUAUCAAGCAUGCACACAUAACCUGGUCUUUCCAGAUCUUCAAAACUACGAGGUUGAUGCAUAAACUUCUUCUUCAAAAAGCCCAUGCAAGAAAGCGUUUUGCACAUCAAGUUGCCGAAGUGUCCAGCCACAAGAGACAGCACAAUGCGUAUAAUUGCAGUUUUAAUAAGUGGACUGAAAGUAUCUUCAUAGUCAAUACCAUACCUUUUCUUUAAACUUUUGCUACAAGCCAAGCUUUGUAUUUAUCCAAGCUGCUAUCAGAUUUUCUUUUAAUUUUAUAAACUCAUUUACACCCUAUGAUAUUUCUUCCUUUUUGAGGCGGAACCAAAUGCCAUGUAUUAUGCCUCAUCAAAGCUUCAUAUUUCAGAAUUCAUAGCAUCUUUCCAAUGUUUAUUAUGCAGGGUUUCAUCAAGAUCUUAAGGCUCACCAGUAGAAGUCAAUAAGCCAUACCUAAUUGUACCAUCUGUAUACGUUUUAUUUUUGCGGAUUCCUCGUUGCAAUCUGGUGACCGGUCUUGUAAUUUCAGCAACCGGCACAGGAGAACCAGGACAACUAGGUGGAUGCGGUGGCGCAGAAGAAUCGGGUGACAGAAUCUGCUCCGGAGUUUGGGAUGCAAGUGCACGCGCAGCUUCUGGGUCUGCUGGCGAUGUAGCGAAGCCCGACUCGCUCCCACCCGCGCGUGCGAGCAAAUGUGGUGCGCUCCCACUACCCCACAUACACGUGGUGUCCCCGGACUGGUCUGCUCCGGUGUGUGUGGGAGAUAGCGGAGGCAGUGCUAAUGGCAAGGCAGAUGCGGGUGUUGGGAUCGCCGCCGAAUCCAGCUCGUGUUCCGUGCACCUCUAGCGCCAACAUUUGAUGCAGGAAACCACUGUUUGUCUGGAGGGCUGCAACCAAAAUUUCCAGGAGUGCUAGAAGGCAGAUUAGUUAGCUGAUCUUCUGAACUAUUGUCCCCAGUGCUAGCCAUAGAAUCAGGUGAAAGCAGUAGAAUUUCAGAUCCCAAUCUAGCUCCUGCAUUGGGAUGUAAGGUAGCGAAAGGAAAAACAUUUUCAUCGAAUGUAAAAUCCCUAGAGAUGUAAGCAUGUCCAGACGAGACAUCUAAACACUUGAAACCUUUAUGGAGAACAUUGUAACCAUGGAAGACGCACUGUUUAGACGCAUUGUAACCUUUAUGGACGAAGAUUAGGCCAACAUGCGCAGCCAAAGGUGCGUAAGGCAGAAUAAUCUGGUUUUUGAUGAAAUAAGUGCUAUAAAGGUGUGGUAUGAUUGAUGACCUUGCUAGGGAGCCGAUUAAUAAGGUAUGUGGCAGCUAAGAACACUUCAUCCCAAAAUUUCAGGGGCAUAGCGGCGCGGGAAAGAAGAGCUAGGCCGACUUCAAUAAUGUGUCGAUGCUUUCGCUCGGGUAGAGCAUUUUGUUGGUGCGCAUGGGGGCAAGAAACAAGGUGAGAGACACCAAUCUUAGUGAAGAACAAAUUAAGUUUAUGAUAUUCUCCACCCCAAUCUUUUUGCAUAGCUUUUAUUUUGCGAUCAAACAACCUUUCUACUAGGUUUUGAAAAUCAUGUAAUUUCUAGAAGACUUCUGAUUUGUACUUAAUGAGAUAGAUCCAAGUAAAUUUGCUAUAAUCAUCAAUAAAACUAACAUAGUAAUGUUUUCUACCAACAGACCACAAACAUCUGAGAACACAAGAUCUAGAGGAGCACUAGAUUUACUUAUGGAUUCCGGAUAAGGAAGUUGGUGCACUCUAGCUUGCUGACAUGCAUUGCACACAUACUCACGAUUGGACUCAAGGGUACACGGGAGACAAUUACUGCUAAUGAUGUGAUGAACUAUAGUAGAAGAUGGAUGCCCCAAGUGUUCAUGCCACCGGGAUAGGGACAGCUUGCUAGCAGUGAAGGUGUGCUUGACUGAAGGUGGCGACGGAAGAGGGUACAGUCCCCAUUGACAACGACCCUUAAGAAGAGUUUUCUUGGUUUCUUGAUCCUUUAACCAAAAAGAAAUUGGGGUGGAACUCCAUGAAGGCAGAAUUAUCGGAUGUAAAGCAAUGAACGGAUACAAGAUUUUUCUUAGCUUUGGGAACAUGUAAUAUGUUGUUUAGGUGAAGAUUACAGCUAGGGGUAACAAUAGUAGAAUGACCAACAUGACUAAUUUCCAUACUUGCACCACUGGCAGUGUGGAUUUGAUCGGCGCCGUUGUACUUCUCACGGGUUGACAGCUUCUCUAACUCGCUGGUGAUGUGGUCAGUGGCACCGAUGUUAGUAUACCCAUUGGUGUCGACCCCAUAUGAACUGGUGACUGCUGCCAUAUGCUUCUCUUCUGGGACAUAGUCUUCAUCAAAUCUAUGCCAACAUUCAGCGGCAGUGUGUCCUUUCUUGAGGCACACUUGGCAGGAGGGACGACUGUCGCGCUUGAUGUAGCCAUAGCCGCUACCUUAUCCUCUUGUUGCCACCAUUGCCACGACCGCACCCACCAUUGUUAGGGGCACCCGCGACCAUGGCCAAGCAUAGCACCACGACAACGGCUGUUGUCGCGGCCUCCUCCACGCUCGGCCAUGUUGAGUGAGCUUUGCUCUCCUCUGCGAACCAGAUCCAAUCUGGUCUCGAAGGUGAGGAGUUGUGAAUACAGCUCGUCCACCAUGACAGGUUCCACCCUCGCAACAAGGGCAAAAACUAGUGACUCGAACUCAGGGCUCAAUCUGGUGAGAAUAUAUUCGACGAGCUCGUCGUCGCUGAUAGGACGGCUUGCUACCGCCCUGUCAUCGCUGUAGCCUUUCAUCUUGGCAAAAUAAUCAGCAACAGAUGAAUUCCCCUUCUUGGUAUUGGGAGAGUGCAAUGCGCAUAUUGACUGCACGAGCCCGAGUUUGUGAGGCAAACAUCGCCUCAAUGGACCUCCAUGCUUUUGCCGCUAUCUUGAACUGGGCGACGGACGUCAUAAUGUCCCUAGACAGGGAAGAGAAGAGGAAGGGGAGAAUCUGCUGAUCCCGGGCCUCCCACUCUUCAAACUCCGGGUUCGCGACUUUGUUUCCUUCCUUGUCAACGAUCUCCGCCAUGGGUUGCUUCGCCGCUCCAGUGAGAUGGUCUUCCAAUCUUGCAUCAUGCAUGGCAGAGCACACUUGAGCUUUCCAGAUGGCAUAAUAUGCCUUGGUCAACUUCUCAGUGACGGCGUUACAUGUAAAAGAAUUAGAAGGCUUAUAAUGGUUCUCCGGGAUGGGGUCCUUGGAGAAGGCCACCACUUUUUUCAGCAUUCGCUUGGAGGUGCAGACGUGCUCGCCUUUAGGCACUGCUCCUCAUUGUGGUGGCGCUUGAUGCGGAUGAAGUGGCCUGCCAGCAGCGCCAGGAUCGCCGCGCUAGCAGGUGUUGGAGGUAUGCCCUAGAGGCAAUUAUAGAGAUGAUGAUAUUCCAUUUGUAUCCAUGAUUUAUAUAUUGUGUUCAUUGAAUAUCCAUUAAAGGCUACUUGAAUUGAUUUGCAAUUAUGUGAAUUGUAUGUGAAACUCUUUACUUGUAUGGUUAUUCUAAAGUUGUCCCUAGUCGGAGUUCAUGUGAGGACACACAUGAAUAUUAGACUAGCACAUGUAUUAGUUGAUGACUAUGUUUCACAAGUCAUGGACAUGGAGAUGUUGAACUAAUAAUGUGGACACAUGUGGAGACAUGUGCUAGGACUGACCCAACACGAGAAGUAGUUCUCUCUUUAAACAACAUAUACGCUUUGUCCUUAGACCUGAGAUUGUCGCAUGUAUUAUAGAUGUGGAUCGACCUACUUAGGGGCUAUCAAACGCUACGCCGUAACAGGGUAGUUAUAAAGGUAGCUUUCGGGUUUGUCAAGAAGCAUGCUAUGAGACAUGGUCAAUCAAGAUGGGAUUUGCCCCUCUCUGAUUGAGAGUGAUAUCUCUGGGCCCCUCGAGUGAUCGGAUCCGAAAAUGCAUGGCCAUGCUACGUACGGUUAAGAGUUAACCUACAAAGGGAUUUCGAAUCACAGGAUCGAGAAAAAGCGGUCGGCUUGAAGCUAGACCAAAUAUCGUGAGGCAAAGGGAAUAGCAUGUAUAUUAUGUUGUGAUGGUUUGUCUGAUAUGAUCUUCGUGUGCGUAUAGGAGUUGGCACGUCUUGCUAGAGGCCGCUACCGACUAUUGGGCCGAGUAGGAGUACUCGGGCCAUGUCUAUACGUAUCCGAACCCAUAGGGUCACAUACUUAAGGGGCUGGAAGCCCAAUUCGGAUCUGAUCCGAGUUGGAUUAGGUUUAGAAGUACUAAUGGGCCUCGGACCCAGAGGCCCGUCAGGAACCUCUAUAAAUAGAGGGGUGGGGGCGCCCUAGGGUUUACACACUUCUUUUGGCGAAACACACCUGCCGCGCCUCCCACGCCCUCGCCUGUUGCAACUCGCGGAUCUAGCAGUCCGGCUUGCGACGCUUCCUCCCUGCACGUGUGGAUACCUUGGAGGUGUUGCGCCUGCAGCACUUGGACGAGCCGCCGACGAGCCGCCGACGAGCCACGACGAGCCGACGACGAGCCGCGGCACCGGGGGCGAUCUUGCUGCACGUGGACGAGCUGCUGAGGAGCUGCUGGACGUUGACGUGAUCGACUGCGUACGACUACGUUGAUCGACUACGUGAUCGUCUUCACUGCAUCGACGCAUAUCUACAUCUUCCGCACCAGUAGUGCGUCGAGUGGUAAUCCCGUGAUCCUUAUACGGCAGUUCUUCCUGGUUUUACGCGGUAGAAAUUUUGAUUUGCGCUAGUGUAGCCUACCUCAUAUCCCAACAGUGGUAUCAAGAGCCUUAGCUGCUUAGUUUUGGAUUUGGGAUGUGUGCAUAUGGAGAUAUGCGAGUUUUUCCGUUUGAUCUAUGUCCUGUUUUCGUGCCCUUGCUGCAAUGGUAGUGUAACGACAUACUCCUACCGGUCGGUUUCCGUCAUCGGAGUUAAGUGAUACACGUAAAUCCAGUUGCAGUGAGCGAAGAUCAAUAUGAUUGGUCGAAUCGAAAUCGAGGGUCAUACGCCAGGCGCAUUAGAUGUGCAAUAGUAGUAGAUGAGAUUUACUGCCGGGGUCGGGAUUUUUUCCGUAUGCGUAUGCUUCGGUAAAACAGCCGUAACUUUUCGGUACGAUCUCGGAUCGAGGCGAAUUGUAUAUGAAAAUUGAUCUACAGAAAAAGUUACACAUGAUUACGAUUGACUUUGUCGGUUUCGGCGAAAUUAGAUUUCCCAAAUUCGGCCUCUAAGAUGGAGUUUUGGGCCUCUGAAGUUUGGAACGUUAGAACGCCUAACUCUGUUUUGCAGGAUGUAUGUAUCUUGUGAUCAGUAUGGCCCCUUUGUGUAUGUGAUGCAUGUGUGUAACUCAUUCGUGACCUGCGUGUCGCGCGUACGGCAACACGGCAGGAGCCAUAUGUGUUGUCACUUUAUUGUAUUUAAUGGUCUGCGUACCAAUCUGUGAUGAUCCAAGCAACUAUGUAAUCUUCAUUACUAGCUUCUUUACUAGCUAUUAGGCGUAAUAGCAUGUUCUAGUUCUUGGAGGACUCAUCACCAGGAGGAUGGCGCACAUGGAACAUGGAGAUGGAGAUCCCCAUGGUGAACAGGUUCUAUGGAGAUGGAGAUCACCAUAUGAAAACGGGCCAUACUGUGUCACAACUGUGUGAAUGCUAUUCUGUUUAUGUUUUACUUUCUGCAUGCUGUGAUGUUAGAAGUAGAACGAUCCCGCACAAAGUUUAAGUUAGUAUGCCCUUCCAACUAAAACUUGCACCGUCCCAUGUCUUGUACAAUUAGUGGUGGGUCUAUGAAAUUAGGGUGCCACUAGUUUUCCUUGACUAGACGGGUUUGUGUCGGACACUUACGCGCAUAAGGGUUGGUUUGCUUAACAAGGUUAUCUUAACGGUUAAGGACCUUGGGGCAUAAAGGUUGGGCGCCGAGACAUAGAGAUGUCACCCAACAACAGGAGUCAUAUGUGAUAUGAUUAGCAAAAGUUGCUUACCGAUCUACCUUGUUUGCUAGCAGUGAUGCUAAAGCUCACUAGUGGACUUGUUAGUUGUGGAUCCUGAAUCACUAAGUUUCAACAGAGGGAUAUUGAUUUUAGUGGGAGUAGAUUCUGUUAAAAUAGUUUAAUGUGAUUUGCCCUAUCAUGGAUACGUUUGUCUUAGUGUAUUUUGCAUUAUUUUGUUGUAGAUUAAAUGGCACCUAGCAGCACCGUUUGCUUUGCGUUCGGUCCUUGAGAAGGACAAGUUGAAUGGAACAAAUUACUCGGAUUGGAUCCGUAACUUGAGAAUUGUUCUCAGGGCUGAGAAAAAGGAAGAUGUUCUAGACAACCCACUACCAUAAGAACCUGCUGAUGAUGCACCCGCUGCUGCUAAGAAUGCUUACAAGAAAGCAUGCGAUGCUAACCUCGAAGUAAGCUGCCUUAUGCUUGCUUGCAUGGAACCCGAGCUGCAGAUGCAGUUCGAAACAAACCAUGAGGCGCACGAUAUGAUCGUGGCGCUUAGAGACAUGUUCCAAACACAGGCCAGGACUGAAAGGUUCAAUGUGUCUAAGGCCUUUGUUGAGAGCAAGCUAGCAGAAGGCGCAGCAGUAGGACCACACGUAAUCAAGAUGGUUGGUUACACUCAACGGUUGGAGAAGCUAGGCUUCCCACUGGGCCAAGAGUUGGCCACUGAUUUCAUUCUUUCAUCUCUUCCGCCUAGCUUUGGGAACUUCAUCUCGAACUACCAUAUGCAUGGGACGGAGAAGGGUUUGAAUGAGCUGUGUGGCAUGCUUAAAACAGCAGAGGCUGACAUCAAGAAAAGCGCUAGUACCAGCCAUGUGAUGGCUAUACAGAAUAAGCCUAGCUUUAAGAAGAAGGGCAAGGCUGGAACGUCCAAGCCAAACCCAGCGCCCAAGGUUAAAGCUGGACCUGGACCUGCUCCAGACAAGGAGUGCUUUUACUGUCAUGAACUUGGUCACUGGAAGAGAAACUGCAAGCAGUACCUAGCUUUCUUGAAGAAUGGCGGAAGUAAGAGUACUUCUACCUCAGGUACGCUUGUUGUUAAUGUUAUAGACAACAUUUUUCUCGCUGAUACAAUUAUUAAUUCUUGGGUAUUUGAUACCGGAUCGGUUGUUCAUAUUUGCAAUUCGAUGCAGGGAAUGAUAAGAAGUAGAAGCGUGGAAAGAGGAGAAGUUGAUUUCCGCGUGGGCAAUAAUGCAAGAGUUGCUGCGUUGACCGUCGGGACGAUGCAACUCCACCUCCCGUCAGGAUUUAUUAUGGAGUUGAAUAAUUGUUAUUUCGUUCCUAGUUUAAGUCGAAACAUUUUGUCUCCUUCAUGUUUGAUGAAGGAUGGUUAUUCAUUUGCGAGUGAAAACAAUGGUUGUGUGAUCUCUAAGAAUGAUAUGUUUAUGACUUUUGCACCCAUUGUGAAUGGAUUAUUUGUUUUAAAUCUUGAUGGUUCACCUGUCUGUAACGUAAGUGCUAAAAGGCCUCGGCCUAAUGAUUUGAGUCCUACCUACUUGUGGCAUUGUCGUUUGGGUCAUAUAAGUGAAAAGCGCAUGAAGAAGCUCCAUUCUGAUGGACUUCUAACUUCGUUUGAUUUUGAAUCAUACGAGACAUGUGAGGCUUGCUUGCUAGGCAAGAUGACCAAGACGCCUUUCACAGGAUUUCCUGAGAGUGCAGUAGACUUGUUGGAACUCGUACAUAGUGAUGUAUGCGGAUCAAUGAGCACGACGGCUAGAGGAGGAUUCCAAUACUUCAUAACUUUCACUGAUGAUUUUAGUAGAUAUGGCUAUGUCUACUUGAUGAGGCACAAGUCUGAAACCUUUGAAAAGUUCAAGGAAUUUCAGAAUGAAGUUGAAAAUCAGCGUGGCAAGAAAAUUAAGGCCUUACGAUCUGAUCGUGGAGGCGAGUAUUUGAGCCACGAGUUUAGCAAUCAUCUAAAGAGUUGCGGAAUUGUUCCACAACUUACGCCGCCUGGAACACCUCAGAGAAACGGUGUGUCCGAGCGACGUAAUUGAACUUUGUUAGACAUGGUUCGAUCAAUGAUGAGCCAGUCGGACCUACCGUUGUCAUUUUGGGGAUACGCUCUAGAAACAGCAGCUUUCACACUUAAUAGGGUACCAUCUAAAUCCAUAGUUAAGACACCAUAUGAGAUAUGGACUGGAAAGGUUCCUAAUUUGUCUUUUCUAAAGAUUUGGGGAUGUGAAGUGUUUGUCAAGCGACUUCAGUCGGACAAGAUCACACCCAAGUCGGAUAAGUGCAUUUUCGUGGGAUAUCCAAAGGAAACUUUGGGAUAUUAUUUCUACAACCGAUCAGAAGGCAAAGUGUUUGUCGCUCGGAACGGGGUUUUCCUAGAGAAAGAGUUUCUCAAAGGAGAAAAGAGUGGAAAGACAGUGCAUCUUGAAGAAGUUCAAGAUGAGCCGAUCGGGCAAGAAUCAAUGAGUGAUGCUAACGUAGCAGAACAAGUUGAGAUACCCAUGGCAAGAGAAGCACCGCCACAACCACGAAGGUCAGCAAGGCUCCGCGAAAUACGGGAAAUAUUAUCGUUGGACAAUGAUGAGCCUGCGACAUAUGCAGAAGCAAUGAUGGACCCAGACUCCGAAAAAUGGCAGAGUGCCAUGCAAUCCGAAAUAGAGUCCAUGGGAGACAAUCAAGUUUGGAACUUGGUUGACCCGCCUGAUGGUGUUAAAGCCAUAGAGUGCAAGUGGAUCUAUAAGAAGAAAAAGGACAUGGAUGGAAAUGUUCACAUCUAUAAAGCACGACUUGUCGCAAAAGGUUUUCGACAAGUUCAAGGAGUUGACUACGACGAGACCUUCUCGCCCGUAGUGAUGCUUAAGUCCAUUCGGAUUAUUCUAGCUAUAGCUGCAUAUUUCGAUUAUGAGAUAUGGCAGAUGGAUGUCAAGACAGCUUUCCUGAAUGGAAACCUAGCUGAGGACGUGUAUAUGAUACAGCCCGAGGGUUUUGUCGAUCCGAAAAAUGCUGGAAAGGUAUGCAAGCUUCAGAGAUCCAUUUAUGGAUUGAAGCAAGCAUCUAGGAGUUGGAACAUUCGUUUUGAUGAAGUGGUCAAAGGGUUUGACUUCACCAAGAACGAAGAAGAGUCUUGUGUUUACAAGAAGGUUAGUGGGAGCUCUGUAGUAUUUCUAAUCUUAUAUGUGGAUGACAUAUUACUGAUUGGAAAUAACAUUCCUAUGCUUGAGUCCGUAAAGACUUCACUGAAAAAUAGUUUUUCGAUGAAGGACUUAGGGGAAGCGGCAUAUAUUCUGGGCAUUAAGAUCUAUAGAGAUAGAUCGAGAAGGCUUAUAGGUUUAAGCCAAGAUACUUACAUUGACAAAGUGUUGAAGCGGUUCAGCAUGGAAGAGGCAAAGAAAGGGUUCUUGCCUAUGUCACAUGGCAUACAUCUCAGCAAGACUCAGUGUCCUUCGACUGCUGAUGAGCGGGAUCGCAUGAGUAGAGUGCCAUAUGCCUCGGCUAUUGGAUCUAUCAUGUAUGCAAUGAUAAGUACUCGCCCAGAUAUUUCAUAUGCGUUGAGUAUGGCAAGCAGACACCAAUCUGAUCCAGGUGAGAGUCACUGGACAGUGGUGAAAAACAUUCUUAAGUACUUGAGAAGGACUAAAGAUAUGUUCCUCGUCUAUGGAGGUGAGGAGGAGCUCGUUGUAACAGGUUACACCGAUGCUAGUUUCCAAACCGACAGAGAUGAUUCAAAGUCACAAUCAGGAUUUGUGUUCACGCUAAAUGGUGCUGCUGUUAGUUGGAAGAGUUCCAAGCAGGAGACGGUGGCCGAUUCUACGACAGAAGCCGAGUACAUCGCGGCUUCGGAAGCCGCGAAGGAAGGUGUUUGGAUAAGGAAUUUCCUCAUUGAGCUUGGUGUGUUCCCGAAUGCGUCCAGCCCAUUGAAUCUCUAUAGUGAUAACAAUGGGGCAAUUGCGCAAGCAAAGGAGCCAAGGAACCACCAGAAGAACAAACACGUAAUGCGGCGAUUUCAUCUCAUUCGAGACUUCGUUAACCGGGGUGAGAUCAAGAUAUGCAAAAUACACACGGAUCUGAACAUUUCUGAUCCGUUGACAAAACCACUCCCGCAGGCUAAGCAUGAUGCGCAUGUUAGAGCUAUGGGUAUUAGGUACCUUCUAGAUUGACUCUAGUGCAAGUGGGAGACUGUUGGAGGUAUGCCCUAGAGGCAAUCAUAGAGAUGAUGAUAUUCCAUUUGUAUCCAUGAUUUAUUAUUGUGUUCAUUGAAUAUCCAUUAAAGGCUACUUGAAUUGAUUUGCAAUUAUGUGAAUUGUAUGUGAAACUCUUUACUUGUAUGGUUAUUCUAAAGUUGUCCCUAGUCGGAGUUCAUGUGAGGACACACAUGAAUAUUAGACUAGCACAUGUAUUAGUUGAUGACUAUGUUUCACAAGUCAUGGACAUGGAGAUGUUGAACUAAUAAUGUGGACACAUGUGGAGACAUGUGCUAGGACUGACCCAACACGAGAAGUAGUUCUCUCUUUAAACAACAUAUACGCUUUGUCCUUAGACCUAAGAUUGUCGCAUGUAUUAUAGAUGUGGAUCGACCUACUUAGGGGCUAUCAAACGCUACGCCGUAACAGGGUAGUUAUAAAGGUAGCUUUCGGGUUUGUCAAGAAGCAUGCUAUGAGACAUGGUCAAUCAAGAUGGGAUUUGCCCCUCUCUGAUUGAGAGUGAUAUCUCUGGGCCCCUCGAGUGAUCGGAUCCGAAAAUGCAUGGCCAUGCUACGUACGAUUAAGAGUUAACCUACAAAGGGAUUUCGAAUCACAGGAUCGAGAAAGAGUGGUCGGCUUGAAGCUAGACCAAAUAUCGUGAGGCAAAGGGAAUAGCAUGUAUAUUAUGUUGUGAUGGUUCGUCUGAUAUGAUCUUCGUGUGCGUAUAGGAGUUGGCACGUCUUGCUAGAGGCCGCUACCGACUAUUGGGCCGAGUAGGAGUACUCGGGCCAUGUCUAUACGUAUCCGAACCCAUAGGGUCACACACUUAAGGGGCUGGAAGCCCAAUUCGGAUCUGAUCCGAGUUGGAUUAGGUUUAGAAGUACUAAUGGGCCUCGGACCCAGAGGCCCGUCAGGAACCUCUAUAAAUAGAGGGGUGGGGGCGCCCUAGGGUUUACACACUUCUUUUGGCGAAACACACCUGCCGCGCCUCCCACGCCCUCGCCUGUUGCAACUCGCGGAUCUAGCAGUCCGGCUUGCGACGCUUCCUCCCUGCACGUGUGGAUACCUUGGAGGUGUUGCGCCUGCAGCACUUGGACGAGCCGCCGACGAGCCGCCGACGAGCCACGACGAGCCGACGACGAGCCGCGGCACCGGGGGCGAUCUUGCUGCACGUGGACGAGCUGCUGAGGAGCUGCUGGACGUUGACGUGAUCGACUGCGUACGACUACGUUGAUCGACUACGUGAUCGUCUUCACUGCAUCGACGCAUAUCUACAUCUUCCGCACCAGUAGUGCGUCGAGUGGUAAUCCCGUGAUCCUUAUAUGGCAGUUCUUCCUGGUUUUACGCGGUAGAAAUUUUGAUUUGCGCUAGUGUAGCCUACCUCGUAUCCCAACAGCAGGGGCCACCACGCGUCUACCAUCGCCUCGGGAGCUUGCGUGAAGUCAGGGCUGCACGGAUCAGAUUUGGCCAAAUCCCCACCAGCUGCUGGGAUGCAUGAGGAAAUUGUGUGCCGAGAAGAAGCGGGAGCACUGGUGGAGAACUCACUUUUAGUCCCAGUCGGUAGAGAGCAAAUCUCCUGAAAAAUCAUCUGGAAUAAAAUAAUCGAGACAAAAGGGGUACAAACCGGGACUAAAUGGUUUUGCAAAAAACAAAGAAAUCAUCACAAGUCACAAGGCACGUGAUUUUUCACAUGAAAUAUGCAUGUGCACGGUCCGUGGGAUUCGAACCCAUGACCUCAAGCCUCACGCGUAGCUUCCUUGCCAUCGCACCUACACAGCACAUCUGACUAUAUAGGGGAUGCAAUCCUUUUAUAUUAACUCGUGGGGAAGCUUUUUAUCCUGGUUGGAAACACCAACCGGGAUUAAAGACCACCUUUUAUCCCGGUUGGUGUUACCAACUGGGAUAAAAGGGGUUGAGGGUUUUACUCCUUUUUUAGCCACCCGUGGGGGACCGUUUUAUCCCGGUUGGAAACACCAACCGGGAUUAAAGACCCCUUUUAUCCCGGUUGGUAACACCAACCGGAAUAAAAAGGAUCGAGGGCUUAAGUCCUUUUUCAGCCACCCAUGGGGAUUCUUUUAUCCUGGUUAGAAACACCAACCGGGAUUAAAGACCCCCUUUUAUCUUGGUUGGUAACAAGGGCUUUAGUCCCGGGUGGUAACACCAACAAGGAUUAAAGGGGGGUAUUUAGUCCCAGUUGGUCUUAGCACCCGAGACUAAAGGGUCCCCACGGGUGGCUGAUUUUUUCAACCAGGACUAAAGGGUCUCCCACGGGUGGAUGAUUUUUGACUCAGGACUAAAGGCCUCACUUUAGUCCCGGUUGGUAUUUGACCUAGGAUUAAAACUCCUUUAAUCAUGGGCCUACUUUAAAUCAGGACAAAAGGGGGCGCAUGGAAAGUCUGUUCUCUACUAGUGGAGGAAGAGGUGGAGAAUUAGUGGUGGCACCUUGGGACGAACCGGUGGAGGGAGGCGAGGGUUUUAGGUGAGGACGAUGAGGUGGCACCACUCCCUUUUCCCCGAUUCCUCCAAUCUGUUGUGCGAGAUGCUUUAACUGUCUCUAUAUAAUUGAUAUGGUUAGAUAUGUCAUUCCGUGGUAGCACCUCGCGAUCACAAUGUGUGCCUCUAUAUAUGUUGUGCCAAUGCAGUCCAUUCGAGGGGUACCAUAGCGUGGCUGACCUACUUAAAAUGAAAGGCCUAGACCACUUCUGCAACAACACAGUCUACCCCUAUGUUUACAACCUGACUUCCUCUUACACCGACCAGAACAAUGAGGCCACCAUGGUGACCACCACCUUGGUCAUGUUUAUGCUGGCCGUGUUCUUCUUCAACCUCAACCUCUUCAGCCGCUUCUCGGACGUGAGCGCAAUUCUCAACCCUAGCGUCCGCCUCUUCCUCUCCACCUCCCUGUCCCUCUUCCUGCCGGUCAUGUCCUACCUCUUCUCCGAGGCCAAGAACCAAGGUGCAACCAUGGCUGCUAGUACUAGUAGCUCCAGUUAUGGCCCGCUCGGCGACGAGCUGUCACUUCGAGCUAGGACGAUCCUCAUGUGGAUGCUUCUUGUGGAGCUCCUCCGCAAGAAGGUGGAGGCCGUCCUGGUCAACGUGGGCAUGCAAUGGUACUCAGGCGCCAUCGAUCGGUUCGCCCGCAUUGUUUGGCUCGGCUACCUCGUCUUCUACAAUCUCAAAAGCCCUGGCAAGAAGGCGAUCUACGGCACCUUAUGGGUCCUCACUGCUGCCAAGUUCCUGCAAAGGGUCGUGGUCAAGAUGGUGCUGGAGCGUUCCUUCGCCUACGGAAGGAACACCCAGCUGCUCAACUCAUACAUGGCCCAGAUCAUCCAACAACAAGAGCAAGAGGAGCACGUGGAAUCGUUGGAGCUCUUGAAGAACUGCAAGUACACCGUGAUGAGAGAAGACAACCUGGAAAGGACGGCUGGUCGGCAUGGCUACCAGGUCGAGCUGAAGAAGGCAACCGUUGUCACCAUUGGUGACAUUUGGACGCAGGCAGCAGCCGAGCCGGACAGCCUCCUCCGGAGAGAACACCUCAGAAGGCUCUGCCUCUCCUUUGCUCUCUACAAGCUGCUGCGCCGGAGGUUCGAGGACAUUCCCACAACAAGAGAGGAGACCCGGAACUGCCGGAACCUCAUCUUCAAGGGCAUGUUGAAGGAGGAGGCGGAGCAAGGUGCCGAGGUCGCACUGUUCCAAGUCUUCAACGAUGAGACCCAGUUCGUUUGCGAGUACUACCAUUCCGUCCUACCCGUCGUGCUGUCCGACCCUUUCUUCUUCCUAGCCAACUACAUCUUGUUUCCCAUUGUAGUUUGUGCCUUCUGCCUCCUAACAUUAAUCAUUUGCGGCAAUGGGAGCGUGGUCUACGCCUACCAUAGCAUCAAAAGUGACAACUACAUCAUAGACACUGGCGCGAUGACGCUGACCAGAUGCCUCCUGAGAAACAUCACCCAUUCACCCGCGGUGCUAUUCGCCAGCAUCGACCUCGGCACCACCACUCUGCUUAUCCUGGCCUUCGUCUACGAGGAAGUCGUGGAGGUCCUCGUCUUUAUCCUCUCCAAUUGGCUCAUUGUGUCGCUCCUCUGUGAGUACACUGCCAAGCUCCACUGGCGGCAGAGCCGCAUCCUAUGUCGGCUCAUCCGCGGCAUCCUGUGGGUGCGAAGCAUGCUAAGCCACCCUAACCUCUGCUUCAAGCAGCUCUCCGUGCUAGGGUUCUUCCAACUGUCGUCGCCUUCGCCCUUCAUGGUGCCAACCAAGGCAGUGCCCAAGGAAGUAACGAAGUCAAUCGUGGAUUAUCUGGUGGCUCACUUGGAUGUCUAUGGCGUCGAUGGCCAUGCCGACCCUCUCAAUUUGGCCUGGUCCUCCACACUUCAACUGGAGAAGCACAGGGCAUACCGUCCCCUGCUCUUGCCAGUGUGUGAGAGCAAGAGCAUUGCUGAGUUCAUCCUCACCUGUCACAUUGCCACCGCCCUAAUGGAGGUGAGGUACCCACAGGACGAAAAGGAAAUGGGAUCUCAUAGCAAGGUGGCGAUAACACUAUCCAAGUACUGCACUUACUUGGUGGGCUUUUACCCGGGGCUUCUUCCGGACGACAAGAAUGGGACAGAGCACACUUACAAGAAUAUGAAGGAGGACAUGAAUAAGGAGCUUGGAGGGUGCUGGCGGUACCACCUGUCGCUGCAGGGAACCAGGUACAAGAGGCUGAUGGAGAUCGGCAAAUCGCAGCGAAAGACCAUGACAAUGGUGCACAACGGGGCCAAGUUAGGGACAGCACUGAUCGAGAAGGCCGAGGAGAACAAUGAGGCGCGUGAGCGCGUGUGGGAGCUGCUGAACGACCUUUGGACGGAGGUCAUGGUGUAUGUGGCGCCAUCGGCCGGCGACCUCCACGUGAAGGCCCACAAGGAGGCGCUGGCGCGCGGCGGUGAGUUCAUCACCGUGCUCUGGGUGCUGUGUACGCACACCGGCAUGACCAGGCCGGCCGUCGCACCGUGGGAGGCAGCACGUCGUGCGUUUGAACCAUAGAGCAUUGGCUUCCCGUGUGUGCCGAUGUUUCGUCUGACAUGCUUCAUCCUGGUACUAAUCCUAACACUAGUACCGGGUCAUAAUAUGUGACGUGAAUGCACGGGUUGAUGCCAGUAAUUCCUAAAGAGAUGUGCUGAGGCCCGGGGGUGGCGUGCUGGCUUAAAAGAAUGGAAAGAAACGUAGAUAUGGCACACACAUGCUUGAUCUCAGUCGAUGCUUUAACUGUCUCUAUAAAUUUGAUGUGGUUAGAUAUGUCAUUCUGUGGUAGCACCUCGCGAUCACAAUGUGUGCCUCUAUAUAUGUUGUGCCAAUGCAGUCCAUUAGAGGGAGUAUCGUAGCAUGCACUACAGGAUAUAGCAGCUUUGCCGAGUGCCCCCCAAGAACACUCAGCAAAGGGUUACACUCGAAAAACGACACUCGGGAAACUUUCUACCGGCAAACGCUAGUUGCCUAGUGUUUUUUGUCAGGCACUCAGCAAAAAGUUGCCGAGUGCAAAAAAACACUCGGCAAACUUUUUUUCGAAAAAAUAAAGAAAAGAGGCACGACGCCACCGCCACGAUCCAUGCCCGCAGAGCACCACCAUCCACGCCCGCACCACCAGCACCGCCACCGCCAUCAUCCACGCCGGCCGCCGCCACCACAUUCCACGCCCGCACCACUAGCACCGCUGCCACCACCAUCGACGCCCGCCGCCACCGCCACCAUCCACGCCUGCCUCCACGGCCACCAUCCACUCUGCGAACGGAUCCGGCCACCACCAUCCAUCCAUGCCACCACCACCAUAGCCAUCCAUCCACGCCCCAGAUCCGGCCGCGGACGGCCGCCACCGGCCGAAUCCGGUAGGGGGAGGGCCUGAGGGGAGGGGCGCCGCGUAGAGGGAGUUGAGGGAGGGGAGGGGCAUGGCACGCAGAGAGGGAGGAGAGGGCACGACGGUGUCCGGAUCCAGCCAGGAGAGGGAGGGGUGCCGCCCGUCGGAGAGGGAGGGGAGGGGCGCGGCGCGUAGAGAGGGAGGAGAGGGCGUGGCGGUGGCCGGAUCUAGCCAGGAGAGGGAGGGCUGGAAAGGGAGGAGAGGGAGGCGAGGGGGCGGCUCGGCCGUGGCUCGCGGGGAGGGUCCGGGUGCGGGAGGGAGGGGAAGGGGCCAGGUGUGGGUGUGGGUGGGUGGGUGGGGGCUGAGUUUUUGGCCGGGGAUGGGGCACGUGCGUAAGUCGGCAAAUCCCUUCUUUGCCGAGUGUUUCUUUUUUGCCAAGUGUUUUUUGCUCAGCACUCAAUAAAGAUCUUGUUUGCCGAGUGCCCGAGGGAAAACACUCGGCAAACAUAAAAACACUCAGCAAAUUUGUGGUUUCCGGUAGUGGUGGCUGAACUACUAAAAAUGAAAGGCCUAGACUCAUUCUGCAACAACACAGUCUACCCCUAUGUUUACAACCUGACUUCCUCCUACACCGACCAGAAAAAUGAGGCCAACCACAACCUCUUCAUCCGCUUCUCCAACGUGAGCGCAAUUUUCAACACUACUAUAGAAAACAGAGCUUUAGUCCCGGUUGGUAAGAGUCAUAGAUCCCAAAAAUCCAACCGAGACUAACUAUUCGAGGCUAAAGGAGUCCUUUCAUCCUAGGUCAUUCACUUGAGACUAAAGGGCCCCCCUUUAAUUCCAGUUGGUAUUACCAACUGCGACUAAAAAGUUUCAAAAAAAUAAAAAAAAGCCACUCGUGCCCGCCGCCUACCUGCCUCCCACGGCCGCGCUAGCCUCACGCCGCCCGCUCGCGCCCGUGCCAGCCGCUUGCCGCCCAUGCCCGUGCCGCCUGCCUGCCUUCCGUGUGCCCGCGCCGGCCGCGCGCCCGCACCCGCCCGGCCAGCCGCCCACGCCUGCGCCGGAGCCUGGAUGAAAGGGACAGGAGGAGGAGGAAGAAGAGAUAAGGUGGAAAGGCCUUGCAUGGGAGAUAAGAAAGGGAAGGGAGGAGAUAAGUGGAGAGAGAGAGAGAGAGUGGGAGGCGACAAAAUUUUGUCCCGGUUGGAAUUUUCAACCGGGACAAAAGGUUUAGAUUGCAAACCGGGACAAGGGGGCGUCGAUGCCAUAUUUUUUAGCUGUUACAACCAGGCCUACAACCGGGUCCCCCCGUCGGUGGCCUUCGGUGCCUUAUUUUUGAGCAAGGACUAAAGGCAUUUUAGUUCUGAGUCCAAAGUCAAUGGGAUAAAAGUACCAGGAUGGAAUGUCAGUUCUCUAGUAGUGCAACCCUAGUGUCCGCCUCCUCCUGUCCACCGCCAUGUCCCUCUUCCUGCAUGUAACACUUUCACACAUGCAUGUAACUUGAUUAAUCUUCUCAUGCGUGUUCACAACUAACGCAUGGAUGAAAAACAUGUGAAGAUUAAUUUCCAACACUUUUUUCUUCUAUAGAUAGUUUCCACUAAGUGGUUCACCACAUAAUAAGGAUGUUGGUCGUUAAAUAUAGGUUUAAUCAGGUGGCCCUAGUCCGUCGGACUAUACCAUUGGAAGUUUAUUUAAUUUUUAGGGGAGUAUAUCUAGAUUUGGGUUUAAUCAGGGAACCCCUUAAGAUAAACUUACUUGGAGCUAAAAUUUAGAUACUCGUCUGUGCAUAUCAUCGAUCAAAAAAUUAUUGUGUACAUCAAUGAUCGAACUUAAAUUAUUAUAGAUACUGUUAGCAAUGCAUAUAUCUCAAAUAUUGCUUCGCUUUAGCUAAAGAAUAGGAUCGAUGCUAGAAUGAAAGCGUCAAAAGAAAAACAUAAUGAUGAAGGCAUUAGGUCCUAUCUUUUGGGGCCAAGAUUCCUGCUGAUAUUGAGUAGGAUGGCAUGGGUUCCCUCCCUUUCUAGGAACCCAUGCAAUCCUACUUUCGUUAUCAAUAUCAGCAGGAAGCUAGUAAUAGUGGCUCCAAAACAUAGGACCUGAUGCCUCCAUCUUUCAUUCUAGCAUCCAAUUCUUUAGUUAAAGCGAAGUAAUAGCUAAGAUAUAUGCCUUUGCUGUAGUACAACUGUACGCACAAUAACUACAGUAUGACCAUGUAUGUUCCUGCAUGCAGUUAUAUCUUUCUGGGGUCACUACGGGAAUCAGGAGGUUUGUCGAGUGCUUGGUGCACUCGGCGAAACCCUAAAGACACUCGGCAAGUGAAAAUAAAGUGAUAGGAUGCUAGAAUGAAAGUGCCAAAAGAAAAACAUAAUGAUGAAGGCAUCAGGUCAUCUCUUUUGGGGCCAAGAUUCCUGCUGAUAUUGAUAACAAAACAAGGAUACCAUGGGUUCUCUCCCAUUUGGAACUAUAUGUGACAAAAGUUAUGCUAGUAGCUUAAAUGCUAAGGCUUGCUCAUCCUUUGAAUUGUUUUUCUUUGGCGCCCCUGUCAUUUGAGCCUUUUGAUAAAGUAAAGGAGAGGAGAAUAAGCACUAAGAAAGACCAACAGCUAGGUGUUACACCAGUAGAGAACUGACUUUCGAUCCCUCCCUUUAGUCUAGGUUUAAUUUAGGCCCGGGAGAAAAGGAGGUGCGCCACAGUAGGCUGGAAUGGGGCGCACCUUUACUCCCGGUUGGUAUUUGCAACCGGGACUAAAGACCACCCUUUUAUCCCGGUUGUAAUGGCUAGAAUUCGAGCACCGACGGCGCCACCCUUUAGUCCCGGUUGGAGCCACCAACCGGGACAAAAGAUCCAACCUUUUGUCCCGGUUGGAGUUACCAACCAGGAUAAAAGAUUUACUCCCGGUUGGUAUUACCGGGACAAAAGGUUGGAUCUUUUAUCCCGGUUGGAGCAUAGAACUGGGAGUAAACUUAAACCGGGACAAAAGGGGGUCCUUUUUGUCUCGGUUGUACUUUUAAACCAGGAUAAAAAUUCAUCCCACCGUUAAAAACCAAGGCAGAGGCCUUUCUUCCUCUUCCAGCCCGAGCCGCUCCACAAUGCUUCACCUCUUGGCGCCGAAGAAAUCCUAGGGGAGGUCCUGCCAAAAAAAAUUUCCUCAUUUCCGUGGGGAUUUUGGUCAUCCAAAGUGUUGUGAAGGUUAGCUACUCCAUCCUCUACUCAUUUAUUGUUGUUAUGCUUUGUUUUAUGCUUUAUAUAUAGUGAAAUAGAGGGAGAAAAUUGAGUUUUCUUGUUAGAAAGAGAGAGAGAUUGAAGAGGAUUUGUUUGCUUGAUAGAGAUGGAUAGUUUGCUUGAUGUGUAGAAUGGUGAUGGAUAUAUAUAUAUAUAUAUAUGUGUGUGUGUGUGUGUGUGUGUGUGUGUGUGUGUGUAGUUUGCUUGAUGUGUAGAAUGGUGAUGGACAUAUAGUUUAUUUGCUAGAAUUUUUCAUAGAAAUUAUGGAGAGUUUAUCUUGUGAUGGAUUUUAAGGUGCAAUGUGAGUGAUAUCAUGGAGAGUUUAUCUUGUCAAAUUCAAUAUGGAGAGUUGUUGGCGCAAAAACCGAACGGCUCGUCCGAUCCUCGCAUCGGACACAUGACUCGAGAGAAUCUCCUUAGCUCCUAUUAGGAUUUCGCCCUGGUGCGGUUCGCGCGGCGUGCCAGUCAAUCUGACCUGUUGAUUGACAAGGAAAAGAGCACGUGUCAGAUGCAAAGAGCUGAUCGGCUGGGUUUCCGAUCCGCUCCGAUGACGUAUCAGCAGAGCGAUCCGCCGAUAUUAGGUGAAAGGUGACCGGCAGGAGUCUGCCGAUGACCGUGUAGCAAUGUAAAGGAAAUUACGAGAAUAACCGAUACAAGGCUACGUGACAACACUCGAAACAGAUCUGAUCGGCCGUAUGGUGAUGACAGAUAACAGAGCAGGGUGGAUGGCCGAUAGCACGUGUUUCAAGCUGGGUAACUGGUGAUAAAAGCUAAAACAAUAGAGAAAACCCUACAGCUCUAGCAGAUAUCGAUAAUUGGUGAAUAAAUCUAGACGAGACGACAGCGAUGCGCCCGAAGUCAAAGCCUAGAUGUUACUCAAGAAAUAGAACUUACGGAUUGGCCAGAGAUCAAGCUGAUGCAGCCCUGCCAACUCGCAUGAACUCGUGAAAAAGAAAAGGGCUUGGCGAAGUCGCUGACUUGAAAGUAAAUUGCAGGAAAAUUGUAGAUGUGUAUUGUUGAUUGGUUGUUUUUUACAAGCCCCUUAGGGCGCCUAUUUAUAGCCUAUUAGAAUACGUAUCCUGGUCGCACACGAGUUACAACUCUAUCUCUAAUUUUAAGGUAACAAACAUCUACAUACAAAACAACCCGCAACGGAGUCAGAUCCUCCCUGGCCUUUACGGGCCAACCUUAUCCGCCAUCUUCCUUGGCCCAUACAGGCCCGUAUCGGCACACUAGCCAACCUUCUCCAUCCGCCAUCGGCCGAGCCCUAUCAUCGCUAUCGGCCACUUGCCCUUAACCUCUGUCGGUCGAAUCCUUCGUUCCUUAUCCUUUAAGUCAUUGGCCAUUUUCCUCCUCUUGACGCUGACUUUGAUAUGUGUCAAAAACCAGUGUCAACAAGAGUUUAUCUAGAUGGUUUAUAUAUCUUGUCAAAUUCAAUAUGGUUUUACAAAUCCGUACAUUUGUUGAACUUGCACGUCCUGCAGGAAUGUCAUAUAGAAAUGUACCUAUCCUCAAGGUGUCACAUCCUGCAGGAGUUCACUUCCCUACUCCCGGUAGCGUCCUGCCAAAAGGCGAUCCAAGCAACGGACCACUUCUGAGCAUAGUAAUGUUAUUUCUUUCUUCUAAUUGGUUUUGUACUACACAUGAUUAAUUUCUAAUUCUAUUUACAUACAAUGUAGACUCUCAACAGUAUUAGAUGGCUUAGAAAAGUUGUCGCGGAGCUAGGUGGUACCGCUCCUAGAGUGCGACAAGAUGUAGUUGGUCCAGUUAGAUGCCUGCACAUCUCUUUUCAAAUACCCAUUCGAGGAGCACCAAGAGUACAACCCAAGCUGAUGGUUACAAUUGACGCAUCGGGUCAACCAUCCACAGAUACGACAUAAUAUGAAAUGACCACUAUGGCGGCAUGCCUGCAAAAGCUAAAGCGUCAUGGUUACAGGGUGCCAGACUACUCGUAUUUCUAAAAUAAAGGGGCUUGAGCAGGGAAUCAGUAGUAUGAUAACGACGGCUGAGAGGAUAUGUAAUCUGAAUCUACAUGACAUUGUAUGGAUCUAAUCAUCCUUUUAUAUUUAAUUACAUUACAUCUUUUAAAUUUCAUGAUAAUGCUAUUCUCUUCUUUUAGGAUGUCUAUAAUCGAACCUUUGCGGCAAUAAGCUUUGAAGCGAUUCUGGAGCAAGUCGUGGAAAGGAUGGGAUAUAGACACAGCGUUGGAUUACCGGCACACGAUAGAGAUUUCAUGUGACAGACUAAGAUCUCUUUCUACAAGGCAUCUGAAGCGAUGGACACAUCAUUGUUUGAGAUUUAUGGUUGUACAAAUGGAUAUCAGUAUAAAUUGCUAGAGAGUGCACUAGUUCAUGUUCUAAGUUAUAUUGAUGACGUUCUAGACUUUAAGAUUGGGGAUAUCAGUUAUGGUCUAUAUCUUCAUAAGUGAGCCAGACUAGGCCAGUGGGAUCCAUGGAUGUAACAUUUUGUCUUAUGUAAUUGAACUUCUCUCUAAGACAAGGAAUGUUGUAUGAACUUAAGUACUUACUUUUUCUUAUGUAUUUGAAUUAUUAUCAAAAGUGAUUCUCUUUAUGAUUUGUGUUGUCUUAUCCUUACAAAAUUUGUGUUAUCUUAUCUUUAUAAAAUUUGUCUUAUCCUUACAAAAUUUGUCUUAUUGUUAGAGAAUAGACCAGAAACGCCCUUAACAUAGCACAAAAGUUCUAUGAGAUAAGGCAUCAACCAAAUGAACUUAAGUACUAGCUAAGAAGUUAACAAAAAUCCAUUGCAAACCUUGAUGAUGGUAGAUGUAGAAAGGUACCUCCGUUGGAAGAGGAUCAGAGGGCUAUCUUCCUAAAGUCACAUUUGUGAUGUGCAGAAGAUGAUAAACAUAAUGUGAUGUGCCCUAAACAUUCCUCCUAGCUAAGAAGUUAGUAAACCACAUACAUCGAUCAAAUGAAUAAUUAUAGAAGCAAAAAGAAAUAGUAUAGAAUUUAUGACUAGUUCAAACUUGUUGUAAACAAACUUGCUAAUUUAAUAUAUUUUUGCAUGUCUGAAAUAUGUAAAUUUCUUAUUUUUUGCUUUUUGAAAUUCAGUGAACACAUAAGUAAAAUAAAUUUCCAAAUAGAAGCAAAAAUAAAUAGUAUAGUAUUUAUGACUAGUUCAAACUUAUUGUAAACAAACUUGCUAAUUUAAUAUAUUUUUGCAUGUUUGAAAUAUGUAAAUUUUUUAUUUUUUGCUUCCUGAAAUCCAAUGAAAACAUAAAUAAAAUAAAUUUCCAAAAAACAGUCGGAAGAUGAAAAACAGGAGAAGGCCCCCCAUUUAUCCCGGUUAGAAAGUAGUACCGGGAUAAAAGGGUAUUUUUCGAUUCCUGCCUGAAAGUACCCAUUUAUCACGGUUCCACUUUCUAACCGGGAUAAAUGGUGGCCUUUUAUCUCUGGUGAUUAAAGGGUGGGCAACCGAGAUAAGGGGGAGGGGGGCUUUUAUCUCGGGUGAUCAUAAACCGGGAUAAGGGGGGGCCUUUUAUCCCGGUUGCUAAUUCCAACAAGGAUAAAAGGACCUUUAGUCCCGAUUGCAGUUACAAAUCGGGAUAAAAAUGGGGGUUCUGUAUAAAAGUUACGGCCGUCUUCUACCCCCCGCGCCCAACACUUAAGGAAAUUUUCAUUGUCAUCAUCCUCGUCCCGCCCAUCGCCGGCCUCCUCCGUUGCCACAUCCCGUCGCUGCCGCCAUCCUCUUCGCCGGCCUCCUCCUUCUCCGUCGCCGCCGCCAUCAUCUUCCUCCGUCCCUACCACUGCCUCCAUCCCCAUCGCCGCGACCUCCGUGCCCCUUUGCCACCUCAUCGCACGCCGACACCACCUCCUCCCCGUCGUAACCGUCCCUGUCACCGCGACUACCAUCCCAUCACCAGCCAGCCACCUCCCCCGUCGUCGCCAUCCUCGUCGCCGCCUCGGGCACAAGUGCGAGUCCCGGCCAUCACCCCCCCCCCCCAACUCCAUCCCCACACGAAUUAAUUUGUUGAAAUUUGGUAGAAAUAUGCUUAGAAAUUUUGUAUACAUUCUUAUAAAUUAGUUGAAAUUCAUGAACAUUCUUAGAAUUUUUUUUCAUGGUUCUUCUAUGAUUUCAUGUACAAAGUAGUUGAGAUGGCAGACGACAAGGCCAGAAGGUAUCUAGUGGAGCGGAUUAUUGCUGGUGAUAGUAGUUCCAACCUUCCCAUAGCGUACACCAAUGAAGAGGGUAGCCAGGAAGAUAUGUUUCUCAACCUGUCUGGCGAUGGCAAUGAAGAGCCUGAGCCCCAGCAAAACCUUGCCGUGGAGGAGGGUUCCAGCGAUGGCAAUGAAGAGCCCGAGCCCUAGCAAAAGGUUACCGUGGCAGAAGGUUCCGAUGAGGUAUAGAUCAUAUUUUAACCCUCUAUAUAUAAUAUAUGAUCUUAUUCAUUAUUACUAUGUACUAAUUAAUUAAUAAAUCUUGAACUAUUAGCCCUCUAGAUCGACAAACCAUCUAAAGCCCCAAGGUCCUUCUAAGGUGAAGACUGGAACAAAAAGGUUAUCAUCAUGGAAGUCACAGAAGAGGGCGGGCUGGUUGCUCCCAAAGAAGUGGCAAUACAGUACGUGAGUUAGAUCGGGGUAAUCGUAAGGGAGAACGUGCCCGUCAGCAUAAGGGAAUGGAAGGGCAAAAUGACUAAUCCAUACGCGCUCCAGGAUACAGAAACGAAUAGGCUAUGGGAAGAAGUUAAGAAAUAUUUCACAUUUCCUGACGGAUAUAUUGAAAAUGAUGUGAAAGUGUGGACACUGAAGAAGAUGGCCACACAAUUCCAGAUAUUCAAGAAGAUGUUGGAUGCCACCUACAUUAAGAAGGACCGAACUCCAGAUUUUAUUGUGUAUCCAUAAUGUAGGGACCACUGGGAGGCAUUUGUACAAUAUAAGAGAAGCCAAGAUAGUGUGAACAAGGUCGCCAAGAACACAGACAAUACUGGGGAGAAGGAGUACCAUCAUAAGCUAGGGCGAGGUGGUUACGCCAAAGCAAUUCCCAAAUGGAAGCAGAUGGAACAAGACCUGAUUGAUUGGGGUAUCGUACCAGGAACAAUUGAAUGGCCCGAUUGAUCGAAAAAUUGGUAUUAUGCUCAUGGAGGUUAGAUAAGCCUAGAGGAUGGGACGCUGAUCUUUGAUGAGAUGUUACAUGAGGUGGCCAAAAAGAUUGACAAGAAUGUUCAGGAUGUUAAGGCUGGGACGUUGAAGGUGUACCGAGAGAAUGAUGAGCUCACAUUGGCCCUCGGGAAUCCCGAACACCCAGGACGUACCCGAGGGUUCGGGCUUGUUUCGUGGAAGUUCGCAUUCCGAGGUGACUUGGACACAUAUAGAAGCCAGAACCGAAGAAAGGACCAAGAAGAUGAGAGGUGGCGGCGCACGAUAGAAGACAAACUACAUUUUGUAGAAGUAAGAAUGCAGGAGGGAGGCAGUAGUCGAAUGGCCAGCGCAGUUGCCAUCCCUUCUCAACACCUCGGGAGCAGCUGUGCGUCCACAGGGCUCCCUGAGCCACAUACGCCAGGAUUACCCGUGGAAGAGCAACUAUCCCUGUGGAUGCCAUCACGCAACGUACCACAUGUGAGCUGCAUACACCGAUCGACAACCUCAACAUUAAGGUAUACUUAUACAUAAUAUUUAUGCACCGGAGCCCCGGGAGUACCUUGCCAAUUUGAAGUUUAAGAACUUCUUUAUUUCUUUUAUAUGUCCAGGUAGCGUACAGGAGUGCCUUGCCAAUGCUGCCAAACCAUACAUGCCAUGGCCUAGAGAUUCCACCUGGCUACGCCAGUGUUGGCGUAGAGAGAAUCGCUGAUAGCCAAUUUGAAAGCCUAGAGCUCGACUUCCCGGCAGGCGACGGAUCAACAACACUAGGAGAAGUGGUUCACGGGGUCAUUCCAUGGUGCAAACGCUACAUCAUCAUCCCCGGCAUGGAGGCACCUCCUCAGAGAACAAGACCACUCUCCGCAAAUCCACAGCAGUGACCAUCUCCUCAAACAUCCAGACCAUCAUCUCCACCACAACCUGCUCCACAGCUGUCAUCACCACCGGGACUGUCGCUUACUGCUCGAUCAAGAUCUCCAUCCCCACCACAUCGACUAAGAGCACCAUUUAAGAAGUCGCGACUGGCACCUCCCAAGCCAAGACAGCGUAAGAAGAAAACAAAGGAGCCUGAGAUGACUCCUGAGGCGUUAGUGUUGCAUGGCUUGCGUCGACGACCAGUCAUAGAGUUGGUUUUUGUUUUGAGUUGAGUUGAGUUGAGUCAGCGUUAUCUGUUGGGAGCUACUUCGGUGGCUCUGUUGUCUCAGAUCUUUCUUUUUUUUAAUAUAAUCGGCAGCUCUACUGCCUGGUUCAUUUAAAAAAGAUUCAGAAGUACGGUUGGAUGUAAGAUUAACGAGUUAAUCUUCCUGUAGCAUGUACAUAGACAUGUAACCAAGAAACACAAACUUUUUUACACCGGAAUUCAAGUUUAUUUGAGAUGUACAGGCAGAGAUAUGACUAUAUAUAGAAAUUGGGGAAGCAGCGCUUUACAUGUUAUAAUAUAGGGUUGAAUAAAUCACCUCUAACGUGGUUUACACGUCAGUGUACAACAACCUGUCCACCAUCCCUAAAUUACAUGAUAAAAACUCUAUCAUCUACAACCAACAACUCUAGGUACGGUAGUUGUACACAUUACACGAUAUUGUUACAUAUGUUUAACAAUGACCUGAAUGCAUAUGUGAAAACCUUGGAGAAGAUAGUCCGAUUCAACUCUUAGAAAUCCUUUAAGAGAUGUGUCCACCUUAAUCUUGCUACUACUAAUUGGAGAUACCGGAGGAUUCUCAAGUUAAGCCGCAUGGGCCUCAUCACAAGGUGGACACGGUGCCCUACUGCAGCCCAAGCAACUACUGCACUUGGUGUUCUUUUCAGACGGUGCUCGCUUACAAUAAGAUGGACGAGCUGCGUUGAAAACGGAGCUUGGCGGAUGUUGGUGGUACCUCCUGUCGCUGCAGAACAAAACGCUGACAGAGAUUUGUUGUUGCCAUUCUAGAAUCAUUUUAGCUGUGGCUUCGUUUCAUUCAGGAUUUGCAAAAAUAAUGUAGUUAGAUUUUUUUAGUGGAAAAUAAUGUAACCGGAUUGGCUCGAUUGCCCCAGAAAGAUAUAACUGCAUGCAGUAACAUACACAUGGUCAUACUUUAAUUAUUGUGCGUACAGUUGUACUACACCAAGGCAUAUAUCUUAGCUAUUUCUUCGCUUUAACUAAAGAAUUGGAUGCUAGAAUGAAAGAUGGAGGCAUCACGUCCCAUGGUGAUAUUGAUAACGAACGUAGGAUGGCAUGGGUUCCCUCCGAUCCCUUUCUACAAAUGGGAGAGAACCCUGGUAUCCUUCUUUUGUUAUCAAUAUCAGCAGGAAUCUUGCCCCCAAAAGAGAGGACCUAAUGCCUUCAUCAUUAUGUUUUUCUUUUGACGCUUUCAUUCUAGCAUCCUAUUCUUUAGCUAAAGAGAAGCAAUAUUUGAGAUAUAUGCAUUGCUACAGUAUCUAUAAUAAUUGAAGUUCGAUCAUUGAUGCAUGUACACAAUAAUGUUAUAUUCCUCUAACAACAUUGAUCGAUGAUAUGCAGAGACUAAGUAUCUAAAUUUUAGCUCCAAGCAAGUUUUAACCAAAAGUUUAUUAUGUGGUGAUGAACCACUUAGUGGAAACUAUAUAUCUAUAGAAGAAAAAUGUGUUGGAAAUUAAUCUUGACAUGUUUUUCAUCCAUGCGUUAGUUGUGAACACGCAUGAGAAGAUUAAUCAAGCUACAUGCAUGUGUGAAAGGGUUACAUGCAUGUGUGUGAAUGCAGUGCAUGCGUAUGGAAAAGACUAGGAUCUGCAUGCAUAUGGAAGCUUUUAGGGAGUUGUGUGUUACUCAAAGAGUCUCUAGACAAUGUGAAUCGAACGUGUCUUGGUAGUGUGAAACCUGCUGGUUGCUCAGCUUCUCCUGCUUCAAAUCUGAACUUCCCCUCCCAGUGCUGACAGAGAAAGGGGGUAUUUAUACCCUGGAGAGGUCAUGGUAUGAAAGGGAAGCUGAACAGGCGAGGUGAAGGCCCAUGCUGAUCGGCUUGGGUGGGUCCAGGCCAAUUGACCUGACCCUUCCUUUCGUCCCCUCGCAUCCAACUUCUUCUCCAAGUCCUCUCUGAUGUUGGAACUUUAUUUUCACUUGCAUGUGGGCCUGGCUCAACGAUAACCUCAUGAUAAGGAUGGAUCUUAAUAACUUUCCAAGUACUGCUUGAUUUCAUCUUGAUCCCGAAGUCAACUUGCCAUAUCUUCUGAAACUUAGUCCCUAAGUCUUUUUGAGGAUUGCUCGCCAAGGUUGAGCAUUAAUGGGGCCCUUUUUGGGGCCUUUGGCCUUCGUCUUUCUUAUGGACCGUCGCUUGUCCUUAGCCUCAUCCUAUUAUGCUCCAAUUUAGUCCAAUUUCCUAUAAAAAUAGAAUGUCAUCCAAAAUACAAUGCAUAUGUGAAAACGUCCUGAUUAUUAGGUAUGUUCAAUAGUUUUGAUAUCCUUUGUAUACUAAUAUUGAAGAUAAAUAGGGGUAAAAGUGUGUCAAUAACGAGUGUCAACAACCCCCCAUACGUGAACCUUGCUCAUCCUCGAGCAAGUCUUCGAUAGAAAUCAGCAUUGCCUUUUAGUGUUAACCCUGCACUUAAUCGUACAUAACAAGACAUGGCACUCCAUUUAGAUGCUCAAUUAAUAUUCUAGCUUAUUACUAUGGAGGAUAGAUAUUUUUUAAUGAUGAACAAGCCACAAAGAAUUUAGAACAAUGCUCUCAAAUUUAAAUCAACUUCACAACUUUUCUUUCAAUGGAGCACAAUUUUCAAACAGGAGCUAGAUCAACAUCGGCAACAGAAUUCUUGCAAUUGCUCAAUGGAAACUCUCAUUUCAUCGAGUCUCUCAGCCAUGUUCUCAAUAUUAAAUAUGUCCAAAGGGAGAGAGAUUAUAUAAAAUGGAGUUUCCAUACAUUCCCUAUCCACCACCCACAUAUUCACACGCAUGCACAUCUUGAUCUGAUUGUAUGACUUGUUUUCUCCUUAGAUCCGGUUUUUGACUUUGCAAUAUAUGUAAUACAAGUAUUCUUUCUUUUCAUCCCCUACCCUGAGCUCCACAAAAAGCUUUAUUAGAAGUAGGAAGGAAAAGAGGCAAACAAAUGCCUCGGUAAGGAACCAUACACAUUGAGCGAUCUGAGAUAAUCAUUCAAGGAGCAAGUCUAUGCUUUGUUCUGAAAAGCUUUCAAAAACCCAAGAUAUCUGAGUACGAGAAGUUUGUUACUUCUCUUCUUCCUUUUUAUAUAUGUGCUCUUUUACGGUACACAAUACUAAGCUAUACUACUGUUCGAAAAGGACUAGUAUACAAAUAUCCGACGGUUAAGAUUAAUUGUAUACUGCUAAAACCUUCACCUGUGGUAUGGAUAGUAUACAUGACUAGUAUAAGGGUAUCAUGGUAAAAGAACACAAAUGACAUCACUAAAAUUUUAUUUUUGACACUAGCAUAAAGUUUAAAAUGCCAUUUCGUUUGAAAUAUCACUUUUCACAUGUAAUAAUUACUAAAUCAUUCAUAAUCAUGAAUAUUUAUAUCUUAUAUAUACUAUAUACUACUAAGUAGUAGUACUAUUGUGUACCGUAAAAGAGCUCUUUAUAUAUAUAAGCAGCAGGUGAUUACCCCUCGUGUUCCUAAAGAAAAAGCAGAUAAAAUAGAUUACAACUCCAGCGGACAUGCAACAAUUCUUCAGGGCGCCGUGCCUGCCCUGAAAAAAAUGUGGCCACCUGUAAAACGGGCUGCUUUGGCAGCUCUCGUACGAAUACAGAUUUCAGGUGGGUGUCUCGGCCCCGUUGUUUCGUCGAAAAAGAAAAACUUCUUGAAUGAGGGACGAUUUGCCGAUGAAUACUGCUGAAAUCAACACAAGCUGGCCAAGAGCCUUAAAAAGUGGUUGAAUGUUGAAAGCUAAAGCAAGCAAAGCGCACUUGAUCAGUCAAACACACAACUUCCACAAACUAAACAUGAGCAUGAAGCUGCAGUUCAUCACGAGACACACGACUGUGCGGACAUGAAGUUGUCGAUGCAUGCGGUCUCUGAUCAAGUACCAGCAGGUGAUUUACCAUUACCUGCUACUGCUGGCGGAGGAGACGGUGCCGGCGGAGGGCUCCGCCAUGAGACCUUGUACUCCAAAUCUUCUUCCGUCUUGCAAGGGACCUCGCCACCGUCCGGGGUGCUUGAAUCGCUACAGAGGAAGGUAACCGGCCAGCAAUAAUAGGUCUUGUUGAUGCUCUUCUCCGAGUGCGCUGGCUUGUAGGUGGUCUCCACCACCACCAUCACGGGGAAGCCGAGGCUCGCGUCCUGGUGGUGCCUGUCGUAGAGGUAGUACAGCGAUGCUGGAUCCUUGAGGCUUACCCACCUCCUGUAUCUGUGCGAGCUGUGCGGCUGCAGGUCGAAGCUGACAUUCGUCGGCUCGAAGCUGGCAUUCGUCGGCUCGAACCUGGAGAAGUCCACCAUCUCCACGAAGGACGCAUUGGGGAUGUCCAUGAUACUGAUGACGCUGAUGUUGCACUGGAUCUGGCCGCGGCCGCUGGGGUUGAGUGCGUGGACGAUGAUCAGCAUCGGCACCUCUUUCGCUGGCUCGUACACAGACGUGGUGUUGUUAUAAAUCCACCACCAUUCUUGUGUCUGGACAUAGCCGUAGCUCUGGAGGUCCAUCUCCACGGGGCGGUGGACGAAGACGAUCACCAUCACCACCACUGCGACGGCGAGCACGGAGACCACGAUGGCCACCAGUGAGCGCACCGUGGCUAGGAAGGGGAACGUAGUGUUCUCGCCAGCGCGGCAUGUUGCCAUUUUUUCUCUGUCGGUUCACGUAGGUAGGGUGGAUGGACUUGUCCAGGGACCUGCCAUAUAUACCUAUAAAUUACUGACCCAAUGUCCAUUCCCUUUGGUUAGAUGACUCAGAUUAAUUAUGACUUUGCUAAUGGCUGAAGCUAAUUGUUACUCUCUCGGUCCCAAAUUAUUAGUCCGGCAUUUUGUUUUUUUCUAGAUAUAUAAUUUUUACCUAUGUAUCUAGAUACAUAAUAAAACUAUGCAUCUAGAAAAGUCAAAACGACUAAUUUAGUACGGAAGGAGUAGAUGACUACAAUUAGCACUAUGCUGUUUGGAUAGUAUAUGGGCUAAUAGCUAUAUAGCAAACUUUAUUCUGCACCUGGUCUGCUCCAGUUUGAUUUUGUGUGCGUGCGGGAAACGGAUUUGAUGGAAUAGUUAGGGACCGUUUGGGAGGGCUUCUCCCAAAACGGUUUCACCGGUAAAGCCAAAGCCGGUGAAACCAAAAAAAAGUAGCUUCACCUGACUUCUAGUUUAUUUUAGUCCUGACUUAUAAAACAGGUUCAUGCUAUAGUGUCUCGAUUUGCGCAAAAGAGAUGAAGCUAAAGCUGAAAUGAGCUGUGCCAAAGAGGGCUUUAGUGGUGUCUUUUAUAUUUCUUGAUCUGAUGGCUGCUAUUAGCCCCAAUUAACUGGGUUUAGCCAGCUAAUAAAUGGUCUACCGGUUAACAGGGGGCUUGGCUAACGAUUAGGGUGCCUAUUAACCUCCUGUUAGGAUGAGCCAUGGCAAAGUUUUGACGGCUAACGAUCUCCCUAUAUAUCUAAACAAGUUUUUACUCCCCUCCCCCCCCCCCCCACACACACACCAAUGUUCAAAAUUUUGGCCGAAAUUUCAUGAAAUUCGAUCUUUUGGUGGUGACCGAAUUUACUAUUUGCCCAAAAUUUUGGUAUGUCAAGCGAAAGAUGCACUUUUUGCACCAAAUUUCACCUGAAAUUUCAUGAAAUUAGGUGUUUUCGAUGGGGACUGAAAAUUUUCCGAAAACAAAAUCCCAAUCCCUGCCCCACACCGUCCUGGUAGAAUUAGGACACACUCUUUAUAAAGUGAUAAUUCAGGCUUCUCCCAACGGGGCCUGUUCGCUUCUGAUUUUUUGUAGCGCUUAUGCUGCAGCUGCACGCCCAAAACAGCCAAGCUGCUGGAUCUGCAGGCCAGCCAAACGGCUGCCCAUAUCCAUGUACUCGUAAGCUUUAGUUUCUGGCUGUAACUGUACUGCUCGCUGGCUGCAGCUGUUUUUGUUGGCUGCGGCAGCCACAGCCACAGCCAUCUCUACCGAACACAGUCAGGAAGCGGAGUGUGUUUCGGCGGUUGUUUUUUGGCAAAAUAUCGUACAGAUGCUUACAUACAAGCAUACGUACAUGCACCAUAACCUUAUGAGUACUUCCGCAACACCGUGUCAUUAUGCUUUCAAUAUCUGGCCUUUAAAAACCUUAGAUUUACCUAUGAUGACUUCGUUAAUUAAUCUCAAGAUCAUCUGCUGCCUAGAGUUUUGGUGGCACUCGAUCAUAUAGGGUACAGUUGUAUGUGUAUUCAUCAGAAUGAGUGUAUGUGCAUGAUGUCCGUGUUUUUUUUAAAAAAAUAAACCCGCACAGGUCAUGAUGCUUCCACUAUCCGGUCUUAUCUGUUUGGAUACUAGGAUUAAACUUUAGCCCCUGUCACAUUGGAUGUUUGAUACUAAUUAGGAGUAUUAAACAUUGAGUAAUUACAAAAUUAAUUGCACAGAUGGAGGCUAAUUCGCGAGAUGAAUCUAUUAAGCCUAAUUAGUCCAUGAUUUGACAAUAAGAUGCUACAGUAACUAUUUGCUAAUGAUGGAUUAAUUAGGCUUAAUAGAUUCAUCUCGCGAAUUGGCCCAGGACUUCUGCAAUUAGUUUUAUCAUUAGCUCAUGUUUAGUCCUCCUAAUUAGCAUCCGAACAUUAGAUGUGACAAGGGCUAAACUUUAGCCAAGGAUCAAACAACCAAGCAACACGCACGCCUAUGCUCUUUGAGAAAAGGAAUAUGUGCUGCGGUCCAUACACGUACUUUGAAGAAAUAUUCCAUACUUAUUUUAUGUCAUUGUAGAAGGACUUUGAAUAAGGUUCGAUGGAGUCACGUGGCUGCGUCUGCUGGCAGCUGAUCGAUGAGUCAUAUUACUAUUGGACUUGUACGGGGUUGGAUACUUGAACUCUCGCAACUUCCCCGUGGAGCAAUAUUUCUCCAUGCCCUUCCUCUCGGAGGAAUGCUUAUGUUUUGCAUAACAUGCUGUCACAUUUAGAAUGUAUGGGCAGGGACGAAGCCACGAUAUAAAAUUUUUAUUUACCACUAAUUAGACUCAAAAUUACCAUAUAAUCUUAAUUAGUAAAAUUUACGAGUCUCUUAAGCAGUACACCACGGUCAAUUCAGCGCUAGCUUCGCCCCUUUGUAUGGAGCACUUCUCGAUGAUCUAAAAGUUAAUUAAAGUUGACAUUCGAAAUUAUGCAACCCAGAAACGAUGACUAAGAGCCUCAUUUCCCGACAUGCGUCCCUAUGAUCCUUUAUAUACUCCAAAUGUCUGACUGGCCGGCUAGCUAGACAGGCUCAUACUUGCCAUGGCGAUGUCUAUCCCUCCUCUCAAAGGAUGGAGCAGCAAGCUCCUUGUAGUUGCGGCCAUGAUAGGAACCCUGGUCGUGGUCGCCAUCGCCGCAGUCAUCAUCGUCGGCCUCACUCCGCCAAAAGUCUUCUUCUACAUCGAAGAUGCAAGCCUCCAUGAUGGGCUGUUGAAACAGCAAAAAUUCUACAACUUCACUCUCUUUGCCAACAACACCAGCCGGCGCAUGGAGGUGCAUUAUACCAACCUCAACACCGAGAUAUGGAUAGCCCCGUCUGAGUGGUAUUCAGCCGAGGUGAGCAUGAGCGGGUUCAAGCAGCCACCGGUGAGCAUCAACGGGUACAAGCAGCCACCGGACAACGUGACCAAGGUCGCCGGGUGGGCCGAGUACGAUCAGCUGGAUAGCACGUCGACGGCGUCGGCGCAGGGCAGCGGCGCGGGGAAUUGGCCAAACUGCACUGUGUUGGUGAUAGCCAAGGUGUUGUUCAAGGUCGGGCUGGCACGCACACGGCCGUACCACAUCAGGGUGUCCUGCUUCCCCGUGAACUUCCAAGAUACGACUCGGUACGCCAACUGUACCUAAUCGUCCAAAACUCCAACGCCAAAGGCUUGCUGAACAGCAUAUAGAAGUUGGGGAUGAAAGGGAGAUCGCCGUACUUGAAGAGGAAAACAUCAAAAUGAGGGGAAUAAUUUCUUCCCCUUGCAGCUUGAUCUAGUCCCACAGCAAAAUGAACAUAACUUGAGUCGGCAUUUGCCGCCUACACACAAUAUACUCUAGCGUUAUCUUACAUGUUCCUAUGCUCGUUUUGUGAUUUGAUCAGCUGUUCGCUUCAGCUACUUUUGCGGCUGCGGCUGCAGCUGCGGCUGAUACUGUCUCUGUAUGGCUGUUGUCUGGAGGGCUCCAGUACAUCUUAGAUCUACUGUUGUUGGUGUUGUUAAUGGAGUCCUGAUAUCUGCUUCCGUUCAUGUUCCUGUUCCAUUUGGUCUUGAAAUUAAAGAUACUUCAUCGGUAAUGUGGCGUGGUUCUUGGUUUCAAGUACUGCCUGUAUUUUUUUAUUUAUUUUUUUUGCCUUGUCAUUUGGUCCGAUCCGUCAGAACUAAGUUUGUUGAAUUCCUUCUGAAUAAGCUUGAGACGCUGGUCGUGCUUGUUUGUUGGUGUGCCUACGUGCCGCGUAGUCGUCGUAGCAAAUACUUUCGGUUCCAUGCAUAUCGCCUGUGACUGGACCGGGAUGUUCUUCAAUCUGUUAUGGCCCUGUAUUCUGUUUUUAUAUAGAUCCCACAUAUAAUCAAUUUCCAACAUUUGCUUUCCUCUGUACAUUCAGCAUGUUGUCUGUUUUUUUUUUUUUUUUGAAGCGCAUUCAGCAUGUUUCGCAGAUGUUUGGAUGGAUGAUCCAAAUUCUGAAUGCACAGACCCUGUUGGGAAAUUGAUUUCCCCACUGCGUCUGUGUUUACAUGCAUCUUCUAACUGUGGUUCCAAUGGCCCGUCUAGGCCCACACAGGCCUAUCAGGUGGAUGGGCCGGCCGGCCUCCUGGAUCAAAAAGGCCGGUAUCCCUUCUUGGGCCGUCCGCCCCCGCUGUAGAAACAAAACCAGAACCAGCAGAUCCCCCGGGCCCUGAAGAGAAAGACGAUGGCAACAGAAGAAAGAGCUCGCGACGAAGCCGGCGAAAGCCCCCCAAACCCUCCCCACCCCAGGCAGCGGCGGCGCGACGAGAUGGCCGACGACCCCACCGCCGGCGGCGGGAACAUCGUCGAGGACGUCGUCCGCGCGGAGGUGAGCAUCCCCGGCCGGCCCUCGUCCUCUUUGCUGCGAGUGCCGGGGAAUCCGAUCUCCGCCCGCGCCGACCUGGCUCUGCUCGGCUGCCUCCCGAUCUGCCCGCGCGGGUGGCGGCGCCUCGCCCCCAGUUCGGUUUCGGGUUAGAGGUGUCCCAGCGUGGUGUCUGGGCGGGGGGAAUCCGGCGACGAGGCGUUCUCCCUCCCGUUGGCUCGGUUGGCGCGGACGGACGCGGUGGGCCUGGUUGGGGAAUCUGUGCCCGUUUCGAUUUGGGUGUAGAAUAGGUAUACGUCUUCAAAAUUGAUAGAAUUAAGCUCCGAUUUGAUUCCACUGACUUAUUCCACGUGAGUACGUGACAUUUGCUAAUGAUGGAUUAAUUAGGUUUAAUAGAUUCGUCUUGCCGUUUAGCCUCCACUUAUGUAAUAGGUUUUCUAAAUAGUCUACGUUUAAUACUCCUAAUUAGUAUCUAAACAUUCGAUGUGACACGUGCUAAAAAUAAGUCAGUGGAAGCAAACGCCCCCUUAGACCCGUUUAUAUCGGUCCUGCUACUUGGGCCACGACGCUUUGGAUCGCCCACAAAAAUCCACAAACGCAGGCAAGGCCGGUCAUCCCGGAUAAAUCCAAAAUGGUUUUUACCGGUUACCGACCCCGGCGGUUUUGAUUUUUACCGAAAAUCGGUCAGUAACCGAUAAAAACUGGACGAAUUCAAAAGACGAAUUGCCAGCGCAACUGGUAAAAACCGCUCGGUAACCCGCCCGAAUUCAAACCGCUCGGUAACGGUAAAAACCGCAUAGUAAACUGCCUGAAUUCAAAAUUUGAAAAUUUUGAAUUCGAGCGGUUUACUGUGCAGCUGAACCGGUGCUGGACCGGAGCGGUUGUUUUCGUCGGUUUUGUAAAUCCUAUUUGUGAUUCGGUGGGAGCAUAAGACUCGGGCAUAAAGAUGAGAUAAAAGCAACAAAAGAAACGGCAGUUGCCGCGUAAUGGAGGAGGUGGUGGGCCAAGUGACAGCUAGCAGUGGAGAGGGGGGCAUUCCAGCGGCCUGCAAGGCGGUUUCCCAGCUGGCCCGUCCUCAUUUACUAAUCCCCACCAAGCUUAGCAUCUUUCCUUUGGAUGAAAUAAAAAAAUUGUUAAUCUCAACUGCUCCUCGAUUACCGCAUAGAUUAACACCUCUUUAGCCUUUGUGGGCCGGGCUGAGAGAAGACACGGCACCUAAUAAUACUUUCCUCACCUUUGCAGUGCCGUGGGCCGCCACUUCCCUUCUGGCCCACAUGUCAUGGAGGCGCGCGAGGAGGGGGAUCGGUUUCACGAUGAUUAAUAAAGAAAGGCCCAAGACACGUCACGCUGCGGGGGACAAGGGAAGACACCGCACCGCACGCACCUCCACCACUUGCGUUGCCUUUGCCUUUGCUUUUCCCCGAGCUCGCCGGCCGCCUAGGAGCUCCAGCAGCCGGUCCGCUCCGCCGCCGGUGCGGCAACCACGCCGCCGUCAGAUCGCCUCGCGCGGCCACCGGUCGUCCCCGUGAUACACCGCCGCCGGUGCGCCGUGCGCGGCGGCGCUGUCCCGCCACUCCUCCGCCUACCGUCGGCCUGCGCCACCACCAGCGCACCGGCAGCACCGCGAGCUGCCGCGCCGCCCCGACGUUGGUCCUUCCUGAGCCCGGUGUCGUCACCAGCGUCGCGGAGAAGCUAAUUAACUGAAGCAAUUUGUAGAAACAAAUAGUACUGGUUCGUUCACUUAUUUCUUUGCUCAAACUUAAUUUCUGCUUAGAGUUUGUGCCUAAAUUAGCUGCUUAUUCUGCUGGUUGCAUGCAGGAGAUCGAGCUGCGGGCGUACGGCCGGAUCGGAGGAGGACAUAUCAGCCGGGUUCCUGUUGGUUGUGUACUUGUGUUCCUGCCGGCGGAGAAGCAACCAUGGCCGAGUUACUGAUCGGGCCACUGAUCUCCAUGGUGAAGGAGAAGGCAUCCAGCUACCUGCUGGACCAAUACAAGGUGAUGGAAGGCAUGGAGGAGCAGCGCAAGACCCUGGAGCGCAUGCUGCCAGCAAUCCUGCACAUCAUCCAGGAUGCGGAGGAGAAAGGAGCCUCCCGACCUGAAGUUGCAGUUUGGCUUAAAGACCUCAAGACAGCGGCCUAUGAGGCCAACGACGUCUUUGAUGAGUUCAAGUACGAGGCGCUUCGGCGAGAAGCCAAGAAGAAGGGCCACCACAGCAAGCUUGGAAAUGAGGUAGCAAGACUCCUAGUCCCCGCUCGUAAUCCCAUUGUAUUCCGUUACAGGAUGGGCAAGAAGCUACGCAGGAUUGUGCAGACCAUCGAGGCCUUGGUCACCGAGAUGAAUACAUUUGGUUUCAGGCACUUGCAGCAAGCACAGCCAUCAAGGCAGUGGCGACAGACAGAUUCCAUAAUCAUUGACUCCGACAGAGAUAUUCUUAGCAGAUCUAGAGAUCGGGAGAAGAAGAAAAUCGUGGGGAUGCUCCUUGAUCAAGCUAGCAACAGGGAUCUCAUGGUUCUUCCAAUUGUUGGGAUGGGUGGGAUGGGCAAGACCACCUUUGUGCAACUCAUUUACAAUGACCCUGCAAUCGAGAAGCACUUUGAGUUUCGGAGGUGGUACUGCGUGUCAGAUGAUUUCGAUGUCAGUACCAUUGCAAGCAACAUCUGCCAGACCAAUGAGAAAUGUCGUGAAAAAUCAUUGCAGGAGCUCCAGAGUACAAUAAGUGGGAAAAGGUACCUCAUUGUGUUAGAUGAUGUCUGGAAUCGGGAUGUUGAUAAGUGGGGAAAACUAAAGGCCUGCCUUAAGCAGGGUGGCAAGGGCAGUGCAGUACUAACAACAACUCGUGAUGCAGAAGUGGCUCGCAUUAUGACCAUGGGUGUAGCUGAAGCCCAUAAUAUCGAGAAUCUGAGUGACGAGCAUUUAAAGGAAAUUGUCCAGAGCAGAGCAUUCAACUUGCAAAAUCCAAAUAUGGAAGAGCAAGAUGGCAUUCUCAGUGGAUUUGUUCGUCGAUGUGUUGGAUCUCCCUUGGCUGCCAAAGCCUUUGGCUCUAUGUUGAGUAACAGGACUAGUAUAACUGAAUGGAAGGAUGUAUUAGCUAAAAGUGACAUUUGUAGUGAGAAAACCGGAAUUUUACCGAUCCUCAAGCUCAGUUUUGAUGACCUAUCCUCAGAUAUGAAGCAGUGCUUUGCAUUUUGUGCUUUAUUUCCUAAAGAUUAUGAGAUCAAUGUGGACCUCUUGAUUCGACUGUGGAUGGCACAUGACUUCAUACCUGUGCAGGAGGAUGACAAUCCAGAAACCUUAGGAAAAUAUAUUUUCGAGGAGCUAACUCGAAGGUCAUUCUUUCAAGAUGUCAAGCAAACACUUC
rnacentral:lncRNA from 1 species